AGAUCCAAUUAAGGAAGAUAGGGAUAACCAGCCCCAUAGGUGCAACCCUCAACGUGUCCCUAGAAUGGAUGAUGAUUGUCAUGAUCAUGGACAAUCAUCUUUGGCAAAACCAAAGAGCGAGCAGCAACGAGAACAUCUCUUUCAUACUCGCUGCCACGUACAAGGUAAGCUUUGUAGAGUUAUUAUUGAUGGUGAAAGUUGCUCGAACAUAGCCAGCACGACGAUGGUGGAAAAGCUUUGCUUAACCACUACCAAGCAUCCACAACCUUAUCAACUACAAGGGCUUAGCAACGAAGGCCAAUUUAGGGUCACUCAACAAGUGCGCAUCGCAUUUUCUAUCGGUAAGUAUCAAGACGAAGUUGUGUGUGACGUAAUGCCUAUUCAAGCCUGCCAUUUGUUGCUAGGAGAACCGUGGCAACUGGAUCGAAAAGUCACUCACGAUGGUCGUACCAAUAGGUAUUCUUUCAAGCAUCAAGGAAAGAAACUCACCUUAGUGCCGCUCACUCUGGAACAAGUCCAUGAGGACCAAAUCAAACUGAAAAAUUCUGUUAAAACAAGUGAGGAAAAAGAAAAAGAGAAUGAAAAAGAGCAAAAAGAGAUUGAGAGUGAAAAAGAAAUUGAAGAAAGAAGAGAAAAUGAAUUAGAAAAAGAAACAAAAGAAAAAGACGUGGAAAGGGUAGUGAGGAAUGUUUCCACUAACCAAGAUAUGAAUUUGAUACAGCCACGCCUCAAGUCCAACCUAGCUCGAGCAAGAAGCCUUUGGAGCUACCUCAAGGUCCAAUCACCCGAUCACGAGCUAAACAAUUCAAGGAGGCUGUUUCGGCCUUAGUAGAUCAAGUUUGGGGCGAGACUUUGGUUGGACGCAUUGAUGAAGCUUGGACAAACUCGAUGAGCCUUCCUUGCACUUUGUUACGAGCUGAAUUAAGCUCCACUUCAGCUCAUUAAAUUCGAACCAGCUCAAAAUUAGCUCAAAAUAACUUAGUCAAUCAUAUAGUAGCUGAAAUAAUUAAUUGAGUUAGUUAAAUUAGUUAUUUACAAGCUUAAUUAAUUUUCGUUAUUAAAUUGGUCUUAAAUCUGGUCAAACUUAAUUAUGCAUGAUUAAUUGUGUUUUCUUAUAUGUUAUUAAGUCAAAUUAAAUUCCUACAGCUCAUAAAUAAGUCUUAAUACAUGUUUUAAUGUGUCUUGUCCAAACUAAAUUAAUUAGACUUAGUUUAAUUAAUUGAGUUUUGUUUUAAUAAUUUGGAUUAAUGUUGUCUAAAUUUCGUUUUUAAUAUGAUUCAGCUGAAUAAUGUUCAACUAAAUUCAUUUGUUCAUGUUGUGUAGGUUGGCCGAAUGUGGGUGGAAGCAUUUAAGCUAGGUGCAUGCAUCAUAGGUUCAAUGAAUGUGGCGUUACAUGCAUGAGGAAUGUUCAGCUGAUUUUAAAUGAUUCAAGAACCAGCAUAAUGCCGUUCACACAUGAAGUUCGCACUCUUGGCUUUUCGGUUUUGGAAUGUUCACACACAAAGACUCUUUGAAACCGAGUGUUCACACUUCAUUUGGCCAUUCAAAUCCCUCUUAAUGGCUGGUCACUUUUCAGCAAAAGCUACAAAUUAAAUGAGCUUAUUUAUGCACAUUGACCGAAUCUAGCUCAUCCAUGCACCAUUCAAGUUGUCCAAGGUUCAAUGUGAAUUCUAGAAGCUUUCCAAGUUCAGCCGAACCUAGCCAAGCCAUUGAAGAAUUCAUUAGCUUAGCUUUUAAGAAAAUGUAUGUGACUAUCUGGCUAACUUAGUUGCUGAUUAUAAAUAGCUGAAAUUUCAUUUUGUAAAGGACUUUUUGACAUUUUAAUUAGCGAAUUGCUGCCAAAUUUGUGAGGCAUUUUCUCUCAAAUUUCGUUCGAGACCCGUAAGACUUAUCUAAGCUUUUUAGUGGCGUCUUUCUGAGUCUUUUCCGAACUUAUCAUUCCUUAAACCCGAGUGUGGCGUUCACCUUUGAUACCUUUGGUUCAUACUUCCCUAAGUAUCGGGUCAAGGUCCUUAUCAACCAUUUCCAUCUCAAUUUGGUCCUAUAAGUUUUGGGUCGACACUUUUCUUUAGUGUUGGUUCACUCUUGACCUUUUUGAACCAUUACCAUUUCGUACCAAAUCCCUUACCAUUUCGUACCAAUUCCCAAAUACCAAAACGUACCAAAACCAAAUACCAUUUCUUAAUUAAUCCUAAACCGAACUCGACCAUUCUAGUCAUACCAUUUCGACUUAAACCAAAUCCAUAUCCAACUUUGCACGGACUUACUUUACUUCUUUGAACUCAAAUAUAUUCUAUCUUCUUCUUGUCUAAUAUACUUCUUCGUUUACGAUCGGAAACUAAACGACUCGGGUUCAACUACUAAACCGAGGUCGUAUCAAUUGGUCCCUUUGGAAGCUCGAGGGAAUCAAGACGAGGACUUGAUGGGGCUUGGGGCGUGGUCACAUCAGAAGUCAACUUCCCAUAGUUCGAAUCCUUUUGACAACAAUUUAAAAUGAUAUGCACCGGGGUCAAAAACAAAGUUUCCUCUUGCCAUUCCAAUUUGAUAUGACAAUUUCAAAAUCGGUAUCAUAAAAAGGAAACGAUGUAAUUUUAAGUAAUGAUUAUGCAAAACAUGUUCAAACCUUUUAAACCACGACAUGGAGCAAUUUUCAGAAUCACAAAUUAGAUAAUUCACAUGAUCAACACAAGCAAACAGAUUAGAUGUCAACUUUUCAUCACACAAUCCCAAAUUUUGUUUGUGUUGUUUUAAUCUGGCUUCAUCAUCAAACUUGUAAACAUCAGAAAUAUCAUGAGGAAAACUUUUCAAUCCAUCAUCCCAAUCAAAGUCAUCACCAAUCAAAAAUUGAUACUUAGACAAAUCAGGAUAGGAAAGUCUUCUACUAACUAAUUCUUCAGCAAUCUCAACAUUAUCAUGCAUAUGAAUUUGUUGAAGUUCGACUAACAUAGAACCCUUACCAUGCUUACCUUUAGGCGCUGGUGGAAUAGAGUCAUCUAUGAUUUUACCUUUCUCGACUAAUCAAAAUCGUCUCUCCUCAGAAAAGUAUUGAAGUUGAAAUUGAUCGAUGGGAUUUCGGGAAACCUGAAAAGUAGAAACAAAACAAGGAAAAUUCAUAGGAUGGUUAGUAACAACACUCCUUUCUUGUUCACUUUCAUCUUUUUCGCUUAUUUCUUUUUCCAACUCAUUUUCAAAUCCUCUUUCCUUUACCAUAUCACUCAUUUCUUUUGCACUCUCAUUUCUUCCUUCAAUCUCACUCUCUUUUUCAGUUUUCUUUUCUUUUUCACACUCGUUUUUAUUCUCAAUCUCAUUUUCAAUUUUCUUUUCUAUCUCACACUCAUCUUCUUUUUCUUUCAUUUCUUUUUCAUUUUCAUUUUCUCGCUCGCGCUCUUUUUCUUUUUCACAUGCUAUUUCAAUUCCAUUACAAAAGUAGAAAUCAUCAAAAUGAGAAUCCUUUUGUUGAGAAUAAGAAAAGGAUUCUUCAUACAAAUGACAAUCAUCUCUUUGUAAUAAAUCUUCCGUAGCCGAGUACUUUGAUACUCUUGAAACACGUUCGCCUAUUCGUAAAUAAUCAUUCGUAGAUGAAUAAAUUGAGGCACUUGUAGAGACAUGUUUACCUUUUCGUUUAUUAUCUCGAAAGGACUCAAACUCAGAGCUUGCUUCUCUUGGUCUCGAACGCAUUGUUGAAUAGAAGUCUUGAUAAGAGUCUCUUGUCGAGUAGUGUCGUCGAGAUGAUCUUAACUCCGUCUCUUGACUCGAUGAAAUUUGCUUUCAUUGGGCUCUUUUCUCUAUUCGAUCCAAUCGAUUAUGCAAUUUAUCAAAUUUUGAUUUCACCAUUCUACGCACUUCUUGCAUCAAAUAUUGGAAUUCUGACUCGAAAAAUUCUUCUUGAGACAUUUUUUUUUGCUAAAAAGAAUAAGUGCUUAAAAUAGAAAGUAAAUACCUCACCACAAAACCUCGCAAGUCACUCGGAAAGAAAAUUUUCACUCCACUCGUGUUUACGCUCGCUUUUGGCUUUUCUUCUCUCGAAUGAACUCACACCAAUCACUCUUGCCUUUUUCCACUCGAUUUUUCACCUCUCGAAGUUCUUCGCAAACUAAAUUGACGAAUCAAUACCGUUUGGCGUCGGCUUACAAAAUUGAUUUGGCUUGAUGGGUAAUGAUGUCAGAAAUGGUAGGCUAUCAAACAAACUAGAAAUGGUUAAGUGUGGCUAUAUAGAUAAGGUCCUUCGGGCAUCAAGCAAUGCUUUUACAAUCCAACUAUGACCUCUUCUUUUUUUUUAAUUUUGAAUUUUUUUUACUUUCGAAACUUCUUUUUUUUUCUUUUUUUUUUGAAUUUCUCUUUUUUUCAAUACUGAAUACAAAAGAAGACAAGAAAAAAAAUUGAAUACAAUUUUCUUUUCAAAUUUUUUUAAUUUUUUUCCUUUUUUUUACAAUACCGAAAUGCCGAUAACUUCGAUUCUUACUCCGAUUCAGCUAGCUCUGAUACCAAAUGAUACACCCCAGCUCGGGAAGGAGAGUCGAGUCGUAGAUGUGCCCGAUCGUGAAUUGGAGUAAUACUCGAGGGUGGACGAAAUAGGUUAAGAAAGAAGAGAUAAAGGCUCAAAUUUAGUUCAAAAGGGGUUAUGAAAUGUAUUAAGGAUGAUAGGUGAAUGAAAACCAAGUAUUCAAGUUGAACCAACACAAUAUAAGUGUGUUAACCCGGGACUUAUACGAAUACUUAGGAAAGGUUAAAUGUUGUAUGGAUGGAAAACGAAUAAAAUGGAACCUUGACCCACUAUCAAAGAUGAUAGGAACCUCGGUAUAACUUGAACGCCACACUUUGGGUGCAAAGUGAUAAGUUUGAAAUACAAAAACGGGUUGACGCCACAAGGGUUACUUGAUAAGUCUAACCAGUCCUUGGAGAACAAUGAGAGUUGAAAACAAACUCACAAAGUAAACAAAUUUCAUAUAAGUUUUAAAAAUAUAUUGUCUAACCCGAAAAUGAUUACAAAGCAACUAUUUAUAGCUAAUAUUGAAUGUCAAACCGAAUGGUCACAAAAGGUAGAUAAAUGGACAGUUUUAGUUCAGCUUAAUUAAGUUGAAAUUGCUUGGAAGCUUCCUUAAUCGUCCCUUGUAGUUUCUUAGGUCACUUGGCUUAGAAAUCUGAAAAGAAAUAACUUCUAGAAUGAGAGGAUUCGUGAUACGAGUCACAAAAGCCCAAAUUCUUGAAGGCGAGGCCCAAUAAGCAAAUUCCCAGCCCAAUCAAGAAAUCCAUCCAUACUUAGUUGAAAAUCAGGCCAAAUUCUCAAAGUGGCCCAAGUUGUAAAGUUUUAUUUUUAUUUUAUUUAUUUAUUUAUUUAUUUACUUAGUUUAAAUUUUUAUGUCAAUAUUCAGUCCAAGAGUCCCAGAUAAAAUGACCUUUGACCGAAUUUCCAUAUUAAAAUAAUUAGGAGUUUUUUUUAUUUUAGUUUUCUAAUUAGAUUAGGACUAGUUAUAAGGCCUAUUUAAAGGCAUGACUGUCCACCUUGUUAAACACUUAUCAUUAUUAUUAAAAUUUCAGAUUUGUUGAGAGCAGAAUUUUCUUUGAGUUUUCUCCAAGAUUUCUCUCUUGAGUUUUCUUUAGAAGUUGUUUUAACAAUCUUGUGAUUGUGGGAGCCAUCUUCAACCUUCUUCUUGCCAUUGAUAUUCUUUGGAGGGGAGAUUAGAGCCGUUUGAAGGGAUUUGUGAGAUCUUUCGAGAUUUUAAGGCUUCUUAGGACUUAUGAUAGAGGAAUGCGCGCGGACCAAGAUCGAGUCGUCAAGUCACGGGAAACUCCUAUGAAAACCCUAAACAAUUAGAUCUGAAAUGAAACAGAAAAUUAAAAGAUUAGAUUUUUGAAUUUUCAUAUCUGAAAUAAAAUCCCCAAAUCAGCAAAGAAUCAAAUUGAGAAUAGAAAUAAGUGUUAGGGUUCUUGAAACCCUCAAGGAGAUUGUGAUUCUGCCCAAUUGAACACCAAGAUAGUUUUCCCCAAAUUUUGACAAUCUAAUUUCACCCAAAAAGAGUAUGGAAAAACCCUAGAAAUUGGGGAUUUUUGGGCUGAUUCCUUAAGAUAGAAAAAGGCUGAAAACACAAUAAGAACAGAAAAUAGAUUAGAUAAUGAUUCAGCACAAGUAGAAAUAAAGAAAGAAUUGACAGUAAGAAAUUAAAAGAUAAGUCCUAAGAAGCCUUGAAAUCCCGAAAGAUCUCACAACUCCCUUCAAACGGCUCUAAUCUCUCCUCCAAAGAAUAUCAAUGGCAAGAAGAAGGUUGAAGAUGGCUCCCACAAUCACAAGAUUGUUAAAACAACUUCUAAAGAAAACACAAGAGAAAAAUCUUGAAGAAAACUCAAAGAAAAUUCUGCUCUCAACAAAUCUGAAAUUUUAAUAAUAAUGAUAAGUGUUUAACAAGGUGGAUAGCCAUGCCUUUAAAUAGGCCUUAUAACUAGUCCUAAUCUAAUUAGAAAACUAAAAUAAAAAAAAAUUCCUAAUUAUUUUAAUAUGGAAAUUCGGUCAAAGGUCAUUUUAUCUGGGACUCUUGGACUGAAUAUUGACAUAAAAAUUUAAACUAAGUAAAUAAAUAAAUAAAUAAAUAAAAAUAAAAAUUUACAACUUGGGCCACUUUGACAAUUUGGCCUGAUUUUCAACUAAGUAUAGAUGGAUUUCUUGAUUGGGCUGGGAAUUUGCUUAUUGGGCCUCGCCUUCAAGAAUUUGGGCUUUUGUGACUCGUAUCAUUCCCCCCUUCCUCAAAAAGAUUCAUCCUUGAAUCUGAAAAAUCAAAUGAACUCGACUUUCCUCUAUCGAACGGGACUAAUGGCAAUUGAGUCCACUGAAAAGAAUAGCCAUGAGAUAGUAAAUAGCAACGAAAACAAGCUUGUAGUCCAAUCAUAAGCAUAACAGAACAUGUAUAACGCAUGUGAAUGGACAGAUUUAGAUUACCAUGCAAACAAUCUUAUUUACUCACCACUGCCUCGUCAAAUAUUUGAAACAAAGAUGGACAUGUUUUAAGGCAUUCAGUCGUCUCACAUUGUUCCCACAAACCAUGAAUAAAUUGCGAGUAAUAAAUCAAAUGGUAAACAUAAUCGUCACAAGUAGGUAUUUGAAAAGAUUCACAUGGUUCACAGAGUUGCAUAAUCAUACCAUGCAUUAAUCGACGGUCUAUAGAUUCACUCACACAUGCAUUAUCAAAAACAAGAAUCUUUUUAUCAACCAUCAAAACAGAUAGAUCAUCAAUAAAUAAAAUAGGACAGUCAAGCACGUUUCGAUCUAAGUGUUCAUGAACGCGAUCUUUAUCACUAUCCGAGGAGUACAAAAGUGUUUCAAAGGUUUCAAGCAUCUUACCUCGAUAAGCAGAAGAAUAAGGGUCGAUUUUACCUUUUUCAUUUAAAACAAACCUUCGCUCAUCGGGGGCAUAGUGUAGUCGAAUCUCCGUUGUUGAGUUAACCUUUGUCAAAUGGAACUCAAACUUCAUGUACAACCACAUAAACUGUUUAAGGCACGAAUAUAAAUUGAAAACAAAUUUGGAAAAUUUCGUUACCUUAUUCUCCAAAACAGAUUUGGACAAAUUCAAGGAUUUUACACAAGGUAAAUCAAGAGAAUAACAAAUCACGCUUCUUUUCGUAAUGACUUUAUCAACCACAAUCGAAGAGUAACAAUUAAUCGGAUCAAAAUGAGGGGAUCUUUUAAGAACUAAGUUAUCAAAAGUUUUAUCAAUAAUUUUCAAAUCUGCACUGACUCGGUUUCUAAAAUUUCCUUACCUCGCUUACCUUCGGGAUCAUGUAGUGUGAUUUCAUCUUUCCUUAAGUUGAUCGUAUGAAAGCGUCUUUCAUUUGAGAGGUAUUGAAGUUGAAAGUUAUCUUUCGAUCUUUCGGGAACCUGAAAAGUAGCAACACAAGAAAAAUUCAUAUCUUGGUUAGUGGAAACAUUCCUCACUACCCUUUCCACGUCUUUUUCUUUUGUUUCUUUUUCUAAUUUUUUUUCUCUUCUUUCUUCAAUUUCUUUUUCACUCUCAAUCUCUUUUUGCUCUUUUUCAUUCUCUUUUUCUUUUUCCUCACUUGUUUUAACAGAAUUUUUCAAUUUGAUUUGGUCCUCAUGGACUUGUUCCAGAGUGAGCGGCACUAAGGUGAGUUUCUUUCCUUGAUGCUUGAAAGAAUACCUAUUGGUACGACCAUCGUGAGUGACUUUUCGAUCCAGUUGCCAUGGUUCUCCUAGCAACAAAUGGCAGGCUUGAAUAGGCAUUACGUCGCACACAACUUCGUCUUGAUACUUACCGAUAGAAAAGGCGAUGCGCACUUGUUGAGUGACCCUAAAUUGGCCUUCGUUGCUAAGCCCUUGUAGUUGAUAAGGUUGUGGAUGCUUGGUAGUGGUUAAGCAAAGCUUUUCCACCAUCGUCGUGCUGGCUACGUUCGUGCAACUUUCACCAUCAAUAAUAACUCUACAAAGCUUCCCUUGUACAUGGCAGCGAGUAUGAAGGAGAUGUUCUCGUUGCUGGUCACUCUUUGGUUUUGCCAAAGAAGGUUGCCCACGAUCAUGAAAAUCAUCAUCCAUUCUAGGGACACGUCGAGGGUCGCGCCUAUGGGGCUGGUUAUCCCUAUCCUCCUUGAUUGGAUAUCGAUAUUGAGGUUCUUGAUUCAAUCGUACCUCAUUGAUGGUAGCAGUCAACGCUCGAAGUGCAGCAGCCUGUUCGUCCAACUAUUGUUGGAAUUUUUUAAAUAUGUCACUAUUAUUAUCACCUGUAGACAUUUUUUUAAAACCUGCAAAACACUCAACACUCAAAAAUAAAAGUUAUCAAACCUCACCGUUAAUCACUCAAAAAGAAAAAAAUCAAAUUCUCAAUGAGGUCGAAUUCAAUCUUGUGAGUUCUUUAUCAGAGUUUAUAUCAACCAAUUAGAGAGUGUGAACCAAACUACCAAAGAAUCCUAAUUUGCACUAGGAUGCCAAAAACUGACGAGACACCAAGUGACUCGUGUUGCACCGAGGAAGGAGUUGUGCACACGUGUAAAUCCUACUAACACAAGAAACAAGAAGGUGUUAGAUAAUGUAACAGAAGAAGAAAAAGAAAACAAAUGAAAACCUACAGCUAAGAAUCAAUAAAAAUUGCUAAAACCAGAAAACCUGAAAAACUGCGGAGUAACUUGACAACUUCGUUAGAGGUGUUCCCGAUCUCCAAAAAUCACGAAAUUAAAUCUGGAGUGUCCUUAUAUAUUGAAUUUUUGAUCUGGAAAUUUUGGGCACCAAAUUCAUCCCGCUGAAUCUUUUUUAAAUUUUUAUUGAAUUUCGUCUUUUUUUCGAUUUUUUUGACUUUUUGACUGAUUUUUUUGCGGGAAUAAUUUUUUUAUAUUCAAUCACAGUUCCAAACACAUGUAUGUAAAAUUUCAGAUCAAUCGGACAACGUUUACCCACUCAAAUGAAUUUUUUUGAACAAUUUUUCUGGGUAAAACUGCUGUUUAUGCUUUAAAAAAUAAAGAUCAGUUUAGAAAUCAACCAAGAACACCCAAAACACCCAAAAUCUGAUACCAAAUGAUAGAGGAAUGUGCGCGGACCAAGAUCGAGUCGUCAAGUCACGGGAAACUCCUAUGAAAACCCUAAACAAUUAGAUCUGAAACGAAAUAGAAAAUUAAAAGAUUAGAUUUUUGAAUUUUCAGAUCUGAAAUAAAAUCCCCAAAUCAGCAAAGAAUCAAAUUGAGAAUAGAAAUAAGUGUUAGGGUUCUUGAAACCCUCAAGGAGAUUGUGAUUCUGCCCAAUUGAACACCAAGAUAGUUUUCCCCAAAUUUCGACAAUCUAAUUUCACCCAAAAAGAGUAUGGAAAAACCCUAGAAAUUGGGGAUUUUUGGGCUGAUUCCUUAAGAUAGAAAAAGGCUGAAAACACAAUAAGAACAGAAAAUAGAUUAGAUAAUGAUUCAGCACAAGUAGAAAUAAAGAAAGAAUUGACAGUAAGAAAUUAAAAGAUAAGUCCUAAGAAGCCUUGAAAUCCCGAAAGAUCUCACAACUCCCUUCAAACGGCUCUAAUCUCCCCUCCAAAGAAUAUCAAUGGCAAGAAGAAGGUUGAAGAUGGCUCCCACAAUCACAAGAUUGUUAAAACAACUUCUAAAGAAAACUCAAGAGAAAAAUCUUGAAGAAAACUCAAAGAAAAUUCUGCUCUCAAUAAAUCUGAAAUUUUAAUAAUAAUGAUAAGUGUUUAACAAGGUCGACAGCUAUGCCUUUAAAUAGGCCUUAUAACUAGUCCUAAUCUAAUUAGAAAACUAAAAUAAAAAAUUCCUAAUUAUUUUAAUAUGGAAAUUCGGUCAAAGGUCAUUUUAUCUGGGACUCUUGGACUGAAUAUUGACAUAAAAAUUUAAACUAAGUAAAUAAAUAAAUAAAUAAAUAAAUAAAAAUAAAACUUUACAACUUGGGCCACUUUGACAAUUUGGCCUGAUUUUCAACUAAGUAUGGAUGGAUUUCUUGAUUGGGCUGGGAAUUUGCUUAUUGGGCCUCGCCUUCAAGAAUUUGGGCUUUUGUGACUCGUAUCAACUUAUCUUUUAAUUUCUUAUUGUCAAUUCUUUCUUUAUUUCUGCUUGUGCCGAAUCUUUAUCUAAUUUAUUUUCUGUUCUUAUUGUGUUUUCAGCCUUUUUCUAUCUUAAGGAAUUAGCCCAAAAAUCCCCAAUUUCUAGGGUUCUUGCCGAUUCAUCCAUACUCUUUUUUGGGAGAAAUUAGAUUGCCGAAAUUUGGGGAAAACUAUCUGGGUGUUCAAUUGGGCAGAAUCGCAAUCUCUUCUAGGGUUUCAAGAUUCCUUAUUAACACUUAUUUCUAUUCUCUAUUUGAUUCUUUACUGUUUUGGGGAUUUUAUUUCAGAUCUGAAAAUUCAAAAAUCUAAUCUUUUAAUUUUCUGUUUCGUUUCAGAUCUAAUUGUUUAGGGUUUUCGUAGGAGUUUCUCGUGACUUGGCAACUCGAUCUUGGUCCGAGCGCAACCCCGUAUCAAUUCGGCUAGACAUUGAUGGAGAACUUUAUGGACUAGUCCCGAUUCGGCCUUGAUACUUUAAAAUGGCUUUAAAAGCUUCUUUGGGUAGUGUAAAGUUCGGCCUUGAAGAGAGGAAACGCCAAGCAUGAUGUUGGCCGAAUGGCUACUUGGAAAAACCAACCAACAGCCCUUUGUUGUUCACGAAAAUAGCACCUGCUUCAGUAGCUCAUUAAUGGACGAAUCUUGCAUGCCCAACAGCACCUUAAAUGCAUGUCUAUGCUUUACAUUAAAUUUGGCCAACACCUCCUUUAUUGCUGCUCAUUUAAUUCAUGUCUUUGCUUCCCUUUAAAUGCCGUUCCUUGCAUGUAGAACAGCAACUUAAAUGCAUGUCUCCUUUGCCAUUAAGUAGUUGUUUCCAGCUGAAUUAAUUACCUGCAGACACAAAAUAAAUUCGGUCAAGACAUAAAUUAAACCUCAUUAAAUUCGGCAGCCUCCUUUAAUACAUAAUUAACUCAUGCAUGAAACAAACAAGUUAAUUAACAUAUUAAUUUUGGCUGGACAAUAAAAACAACAAUAAAUUCGUCACUUUUAAAGAACUUAAGACACAUUUAAUACUACUCUUUAAUUCGGCUGAAACUAAUAAAAAAACAUUAAUAAAUUCAGCAUAUUAAAUAGAUGUAAUAAAUAAAACACAAUCAAUUAAACUAAAAAAAUUAUUAAAGAUGUUCAGAUUUAAACAUAUUAAUUUACUAACACUUAUUUGAGCUGAAUUAAAUAAAUAAACUAACUUAUUCAAUUUAUUUCAGCAAAUGAAAUCAAAAGAAUUAAAAUAAACUCAAAUUGAGCAAAACGAUCCCAUUGAGCUGGAAACGAGCUAAACAAAGCUCAGUGAGAUGCAAUUGAGCUAAUUUAGCUCGCAUGGGUGUGCAAGAAAUACUUAUGGAGCUGAUCGAAAAAUGUGCCCGGGCCGUGGUCGUAUCAAUAGGCCUCCAACAAAUCCUAAUCUCACAAGUAACUAAUAAAAAAUUAAACCUAAUUAAUAAAACAACAAGGUAAAUUCGGCCAUGCACUUAUAUGGGCUGUUUUGGGCCGAAUUUUUCAUGUAAUGCUCCUAAAGAUUAAAAAAUUAAAUUAAACAAGUAAGAUGUUUACAAAUUGGGCCCUUUGACAUUUUGGCCUGAUUUUCAACUAAGUAUGAAGAAAUUUCUUGAUUGGGCUGGAUUUUGGUUAUUGGGCCUCGCCUUCAAGAAUUUGGGCUCGUGAUCCAUCUCCUACCAAAAUUGGGUCGUUGACGCUCGUAAUGGAGAUCCAAUGCGUUUUGGCUGCAAGAUUUGGUUUCUUGGACCAAGAUUUCCAAGAUUUGAAAUCUUGAUUUUCUUGAUUCUUGAAAUCUCUUCGAACAGCAAAAUUGGGCCAAGAUUCGAUUUCUUGAUUUUCUUGAAAACAAGAAAGUGAAUCUUGAUUUUCUUGUUCUCUCGUGUAUGAAUCUAAGGCCUUACUAACAAGCUCUUGAAUGGUCCCAUUUAGUUUGGACCGCAUUUGUCGGGCCUUUGAUCUCGUUAUUGGGCCUUGUGCCAAUUUGAGCCCAUCACGUUCUUGAACUUGGAUUGGGCCUUUAUGACUCGUAUCAUUCCCCCUUCCUCAAAAAGAUUCGUCCUCGAAUCUAAAAAAUCAAAUGGGGACAAGUCAGCCACAUUAAAAGUAGAACUUACAUUGUACUCACCAGGUAGAUCAAUUUUAUAGGCAUUAUCGUUGAUCUGCUCGAGUACUUGGAAAGGCCCAUCGCCCCUUGGGUCCAACUUAGUCUUUCUUUUUGUAGGAAAUCGUUCUUUCCUCAAAUGGACCCAAACCCAAUCUCCGGGUUCUAGUACAACCCGUUUGCGCCCUUUGUUUGCUUUGUUGGUGUUGGCGUCAUUUGUUUUGGCUAUUCGCUGUCUAGCCUUCUCAUGUUGUAAGGAUUUCACCAACUCAGCUUUCUGUUCGCCAUCUAAAUUCAUAACGCGUUCAAGAGGUAAUGGCGCAAGAUCAAGUACUGUUGGUGGGUUAAAACCAUAAACAAGUUCAAAUGGGGAAUAACCAGUUGUAGAAUGAAUAGAUCUAUUAUAUGCAAAUUCAACAAAUGGUAGGCAUUCUUCCCAAUUUCUAAUGUUCUUUCCCACAACAGCUCGUAAUAAAGUCCCUAAGAUUCGAUUAACUACUUCAGUUUGACCAUCAGUUUGAGGGUGACAUGUAGUAGAAUAAAGCAAUUUAGUACCAAGCUUACCCCACAAUACCUUCCAAAAGUGGCUAAGGAAUUUGACAUCUCUAUCAGAAACAAUUGUUUCAGGGAUGCCAUGAAGUCUUACCACUUCUUUAAAGAAUAAGUCUGCCACAUGUGUAGUAUCAUCUGUUUUGUGACAAGGAAUAAAAUGUGACAUCUUUGAAAACCUGUCAACAACAACAAAUAUACUAUCUCUUCCUUUUUUUGUUCGAGGCAAACCUAAAAUAAAAUCCAUGGAUAAAUAUACCCAAGGUGAAGUAGGAAUCGGUAGAGGAGUGUAAAGGCCAUGAGGCAUUACCUUAGAUUUUGCUUGUUUGCAUGUAAUGCACUUGGAACAUACCUUUUCCACAUCCUUCUUCAUAUGUGGCCAAUGGAAGUGUUCUUGCAAUAUGUCUAGUGUUUUGGCCACUCCAAAAUGUCCCAUUAAUCCCCCACUAUGGGCUUCAUGAAUAAAAAAUUCUCUCAUGGAACACUUUGGUAUGCAUAACCUGUUUAAACGAAAAAGAAAGCCAUCUUCAAGAUAAAAUUUUUCAAAAGCAGUAUGUCCACAAUUCUUAUAGAUAUGGCUGAAAUCAGUAUCAUCAUCAUAUAACUCUUUAAUAUGUUCAAACCCUAAGACUUUAGCAUUCAAUGUAGUUAUUAAAGUAUAUCGUCUAGACAAAGCAUCUGCGACUACAUUAUCUUUACCUGUUUUAUAUUGAAUCACAUAAGGGAAUGUUUCAAUGAAUUCUACCCAUCGGGCAUGUCUUUUACUCAACUUACCUUGUCCCUUUAACCAUUUAAGAGACUCAUGAUCUGUAUGUAUGAUAAACUCAUUAGGCAGCAAAUAAUGUUGCCAUACUUGAAGUGCACGAACUAAUGCCAAUAGUUCUUUGUCAUAAGUCGAGUAAUUUAACUGUGCACCGUUCAAUUUCUCACUAAAAUAAGCAAUAGGUUGCUUAUCUUGCAUUAAAACGGCACCGAUUCCAAUUCCUGAAGCAUCACACUCAAGUUCAAAAGUUUUAGCAAAAUCAGGUAAUUUAAGCAAAGGAGCAGAACAUAACUUAGCUUUUAGAGUUUGAAAAGCUUUUUCUUGGGUUUCACCCCAUUUGAAACCCACUGAUUUCUUUAUAACUUCAGUCAAUGGGGCAGUAAUAGUAGAGAAAUAUUUCACAAAUCGUCUAUAAAAACUGGCUAAACCAUGGAAAGAUCUCACCUCAGUUACCGAUUUAGGAGUCGGCCACUCCUUAAUUGCCUUAACUUUGUCCUCGUCGACAUGAAUACCUUGAGUACUAACUAUGAAACCUAAGAAUAUUAGUUUAUCACAACAGAAUGUGCAUUUAUCAAGGUUGGCAAAUAAUCUUUCAGUUCGUAGAAUAUCCAAAAUGGUUCGAACAUGGAAAACAUGAUCAUCUAAUGACUUUGAGUAAAUUAAAAUAUCAUCAAAGUAAACUACUACAAAUUUACCCAAAUGUAGCCCCAAAACAUGAUUCAUUAAUCUCAUAAAUGUACUAGGUGCAUUAGUAAGGCCGAAAGGCAUAACUAACCAUUCAUACAAUCCAAAUUUUGUUUUAAAGGCUGUUUUCCAUUCAUCCCCUUCCCUCAUUCGAAUUUGAUGAUAAUCGCUUUUUAAAUCAAUUUUUGUAAAUAUUAUUGAACCAUGUAAUUCAUCAAGCAUAUCAUCAAGUCUAGGGAUUGGGUGUCGAUACUUUACCAUUAUCUUGUUGAUUGGGCGACAAUCAACACACAUACGAAACGUACCAUCUUUCUUUGGCACCAAUAAGACAGGAACAGCACAAGGACUUAGGCUCUCACGAAUGUACCCUUUGUCUAGUAAUUCCUCCACUUGCCUUUGCAAUUCCUUUGUCUCAUCGGGAUUGCAUCUAUAGGCUGGUCGAUUUGGGAUUGAAGCUCCGGGUACUAAGUCAAUUUGAUGUUCUAUCCCUCGUAAAGGUGGUAAACCUUUAGGGGCCUCACUAAAAACAUCCUCAUAAUCCUGCAAAAGAGAUUGAAACACACUAGGCAAAUUUUCGUUAAUGUUAGAUAAAGAUAAAUAAUUUUGCCUAAACCUCACAAGGAUACAAGGCUGUUUAUUAAGUAGGGCUCUCUUCACAUCUUUUUUUGUUGCCAAAAGAUUUUUUCCGCUCAUUUUACCACUAGAGGAUUCACUCACCUUUGGGCUUUUUAAAUUUUGACUUUUUCCACUACUAUUAGCCUCUUUUCUCUCUGUCUUUUGUACUUGCUCUUUCUCCCUUACCCCCUCACAAAAUUUUAUCAUCCUUAAUUGAUCUUUAUAUACAUCAGUAGGAUUUAAAGGAGCAAAAGUGAAUUUCUUGCCUUUAAAUACAAGGGAGUAUCGAUUAAGUUUACCUUGGUGUGUAACAUCGCGAUCAAAUUGCCAAGGUCGUCCAAGGAGCAAGUGUGCCGCAUGCAUGGGGACUACAUCACACCAUACGUCAUCCUCAUAAUUGCCGAGUUUAAAAGUGACCAAGGACUGUUUCGUAACUUUAACUUCGGAACAUUCAUUAAGCCACUGAAGGUGAUAUGGCUUUAAAGAAUCCACCAAAUAACUACUCACUACAUUCGAGCAACUCCCACUAUCAAUAAUGAGUGAACAUAAGUUACCUUUAAUAAAACACCAAGAAUGGAAAAUAUUGGUCCUUUGGCUCUCAUCAUCUUUCAUCUGAAUGUUAAGGGUUCGGCGAACUACAAAGCAAUGGAAAUUAGCAAAGUCCCCUUCUUUUGGUGGUUCGACCAACUCUUCGCCAUUAUCACUGUCAUCCACAAGUUCUGGCAUAUCUGGAUCUGUUUUAUCAGAGUCGGAAGUGUACUCACCAUUAUCUUUCAGAAGAAGUAAUCUCGUGUUAGGGCAUUCCCUACUAUAAUGACCACGCCCUUUGCACUUAAAGCACUCAAUCUCACGAGUCCUCUUCGCACUCGAAUCUCCUAAAUUGGGCUGCUUAGAAGGUGUUUGCGUUUUAACAGGAGCCCCUUUUUUCCAAUCUAAUUGCUUGCUUCCAUUACUCAAAGAAGGCUUGUUAGUAACGAAAGGUGAUUUUGAGCUCUUAAAAUCAGAAUUGGAAUUGUUACCUCGGUAAUAUUGCGAAGUCGAGAAGGAACCAAACCUUUGUUCCUUUAGUUGUUGCUCGAUCUCAAUGGCUUUAUGAACUGCUUCUUCCAAAUCAAUGUAAGUUUGUAGCCUCAAUGUAUUAGCUAUCGGCCUGUUCAAACCAUCAAUAAAUCGAACCAUAGUUGUUUCUUCAUCCUCCUCCACAUUAGCUCUCUGAAUGAGCAUCUCCAUCUCUUUAAAAUAUUCAUCCACUGUCCUACUACCUUGGAUAAGUCUUCUCAGCUUUGUUUUAAUUUCUCUAUAGUAGUGAGGUGGAAUAAACCUUUUACGCAUAAUCUGUUUCAACUCAUCCCAUGUCAAAAUCUCACCUUCAUAAUUCCGAUGGCGGUUUACCCCAAGUUGAGUCCACCAACUUAAUGCAUAAUCAGAAAAUUCCAGUGUUGCUAACGCUACCUUUUCAUCAUCCGGACAUUUAUAAUACCGAAACAUAAGUUCAAUCUUAGAUUCCCAUUCACAAUAAGCGUCAGGAUCAUUCUUACCACGAAAUUGGGGAAUUGUGAAUUUCGGUUUUGCCAAAGAAGGUUGCCCACGAUCAUGAAAAUCAUCAUCCAUUCUAGUGACACGUCGAGGGCCGCGCCUCUGGGGUUGGUUAUCCCUAUCUUCUUUGAUUCGAUCUCAAUAUUGACGUUCUUGAUUCAAUUGCACCUCAUUGAUGGUAGCAGUCAAAGCUCGAAGAGCAGCAGCCUGUUCAUCCAACUGUUGUUGGAAUUUUUUAAAUAUGUCACUAUUAUUAUCACCUGUAGACAUUUUUUUUAAAACCUGCAAAACACUCAACACUCAAAAAUAAAAGUUAUCAAACCUCACCGUUAAUCACUCAAAAAGAAAAAAAUCAAAUUCUCAAUGAGGUCGAAUUCAAUCUUAUGAGUUCUUUAUCAGAGUUUAUAUCAACCAAUUAGAGAGUGUGAACCAAACUACCAAAGAAUCCUAAUUUGCACUAGGAUGCCAAAAACUGACGAGACACCAAUUGAUUCGUGUUGCACCGAGGAAGAAGUUGUGCACACGUUUAAAUCCUACUAACACAAGAAACAAGAAGGUGUUAGAUAACGUAAAGGAAGAAUAAAGGUAAACAAAUGAAAACCUACAGCUAAGAAUCAAUAAAAAUUGCUGAAAACAGAAAACCCGAAAAACUGCGGAGUAACUUGACAACUUCGUUCGAGGUGUUCCCGAUCUCCAAAAAUCACGAAAUUAAAUCUGGAGUGUCCUUAUAUAUUGAAUUUUUGAUCUGGAAAUUUUCGGCACCAAAUUAAACCCGCUGAAUCUUUUUUUAAAUUUUUAUUGAAUUUCGUAUUUUUUGAUUUUUUUGACUGAUUUUUUUGGGGGAAUAAUUUUUUUAUAUUCAAUCACAGUGCCGAAAAUAUGUAUGUAAAAUUUCAGAUCAAUCGGACAACGUUUACCCACUCAAAUGAAUUUUUUUUGAACAAUUUUUCUGGGUAAAACUGCUGUUUAUGCUUUAAAAAAUAGAGAUCAGUUUAGAAAUCAACCAAGAACACCCAAAACGCCCAAAAUCUGAUACCAAAUGGUACGGACGCACGCGGACCAAAUGAUAAAGGGUUGCGCGCGGACCAAGAUCGAGUUGCCAAGUCACGAGAAACUCCUACGAAAGAUCCUAGACGAACAGAUCUGAAAACAAAAACAAAGAUUAAGAUUAAACCGAAUCAGAUUUGAAUCUAAAAUUCCCAAAUUCAAUUAAAAGAGCAGCAAGAAGAAAAGAAAUAGAAUCGAUGAAUCAAACGAAAUUGAGAAGAAAGAAAAGAUGCGAAUCAGUCAACAAAUUGAUUCGGCCAAGAAUGCCCAAUUUCCAGCAAUCAAUUGAUUCCCAAAUUGAAAGAAAUCCAAUCGGCCAAACCCUAGGAAUUGGGGAUUUUUGGGUUCGAAUGGGUGCUGCCUAUUAGGAGAACAACUUAAACGAUGAGAUCUUGAGUUUAAUCAAUGCUGGAAAACAAAUAAGAACAGAAAAAUAUUAGAUGAGAAAUCGGCACAAGUAUAAGCAAAGAAAAGUAAAGAAAGAAAUCGAAAACAGCAAGAAUUAAAGGAUAAGUCCUAAAGAUCCUUGAAAUCCCGAAAGAUUUCACAAAUCUCUUCAAACGGCUCUAAUCUCCCCUCCAAAGAAUAUCAAUGGCAAGAAGAAGGUUGAAGAUGGCUCCCACAAUCAAAAGAUUGUUAAAACAACUUCUAAAGAAAGCUCAAGAGAGAAUUCUUGGAGAAAACCCCAAAGAGAAUUCUACACUCUAACAAACUGAAAUGUAAUGUAUUGAAUGAUAAUAAGAUGUUUUUACAAAGGGUGGCUGGCCUAUGCUUAUAUAGGCCUCCAACAAAUCCUAAUCUCACAAGUAACUAAUAAAAAAUUAAACCUAAUUAAUAAAAUAACAAGGUAAAUUCGGCCAUGCACUUAUAUGGGCUGUUUUGGGCCGAAUUUUACAUGUAAUGCUCCUAAAGAUUAAAACCAAAGAGCGAGCAGCAACGAGAACAUCUCUUUCAUACUCGCUGCCAUGUACAAGGUAAGCUUUGUAGAGUUAUUAUUGAUGGUGAAAGUUGCUCGAACGUAGCCAGCACGACGAUGGUGGAAAAGCUUUGCUUAACCACUACCAAGCAUCCACGACCUUAUCAACUACAAGGGCUUAGCAACGAAAGCCAAUUUAAGGUCACUCAACAAGUGCGCAUCGCCUUUUCUAUCAGUAAAUAUCAAGACGAAGUCGUGUGUGACAUAGUACCUAUUCAAGCCUGCCAUUUAUUGCUAGGAGAACCAUGGCAACUGGAUCGAAAAGUCACUCACGAUGGUCGUACCAAUAGGUAUUCUUUCAAGCAUCAAGGAAAGAAAAUCACCUUAGUGCCGCUCACUCCGGAACAAGUCCAUGAGGACCAAAUCAAACUGAAAAAUUCUGUUGUUAAAACAAGUGAGGAAAAAGAAAAAGAGAAUGAAAAAGAGCAAAAAGAGAUUGAGAGUGAAAAGGAAUGUGAAACAAAAAAGAAAAUUGAAAAAGAAGUUGAAGAAAGAAGAGAAAAUGAGUUAGAAAAAGAAACAAAAGAAAAAGACGAGGAAAGGCUAGUGAGGAAUGUUUCCACUAACCAAGAUAUAAAUUUUUCUUGUGUUGCUACUUUUCAGGUUCCCGAAAGAUCGAAAGAUAACUUUCAACUUCAAUACCUCUCAAAUGAAAGACGCUUUCAUACGAUCAACUUAAGCAAAGAUGAAAUCACACUACAUGAUCCCGAAGGUAAGCGAGGUAAGGAAAUUUUAGAAACCGAGUCCAGUGCAGAUUUGAAAAUUAUUGAUAGAACUUUUGGUGACUUAGUUCUUAAAAGAUCCCCUCAUUUUGAUCCGAUUAAUUGUUACUCUUCGAUUGUGGUUGAUAAAGUCCUUACGAAAAGAAGCGUGAUUUGUUAUUCUCUUGAUUUACCUUGUGUAAAAUCCUCAAAUUUGUCCAAAUCUGUUUUGGAGAAUAAGGUAACGAAAUUUUCCAAAUUUGUUUUCAAUUUAUAUUCGUGCCUUAAACAGUUUAUGUGGUUGUACAUGAAGUUUGAGUUCCAUUUGACAAACGUUAACUCAACAACGAAGAUUCCACUACACUAUGCCCCCGAUGAGCGAAGGUUUGUUUUAAAUGAAAAAGGUAAAAUCGACCCUUAUUCUUCUGCUUAUCGAGGUAAGAUGCUUGAAACCUUUGAAACACUUUUGUACUCCUCGGAUAGUGAUAAAGAUCGUGUUGAUGAACACUUAGAUCGAAACGUGCUUGACUGUCCUAUUUUAUUUAUUGAUGAUCUAUCUAUUUUGAUGGUUGAUAAAAAGAUUCUUGUUUUUUAUAAUGCAUGUGUGAGUGAAUCUAUAUACCGUCGAUUAAUGCAUGGUAUGAUUAUGCAACUCUGUGAACCAUGUGAAUCUUUUCAAAUACCUACUUGUGACGAUUAUGUUUACCAUUUGAUUUAUUACUCGCAAUUUAUUCAUGGUUUGUGGGAACAAUGUGAGACGACUGAAUGCCUUAAAACAUGUCCAUCUUUGUUUCAAAUAUUUGACGAGGCAGUGGUGAGUAAAUUAGAUUGUUUGCAUGGUAAUCUGAAUCUGUCCAUUCACAUGCGUUAUACCUGUUCUGUUAUGCUUAUGAUUGGACUACAAGCUUGUUUCCGUUGCUAUUUACUAUCUCAUGGCUAUUCUUUUCAGUGGACUCAAUUGCCAUUAGUCCCGUUCGAUAGAGGAAAGUCGAGUUCAUUUGAUUUUUCAGAUUCGAGGACGAAUCUUUUUGAGGAAGGGGGAAUGAUACGAGUCACAAAAGCCCAAAUUCUUGAAGGCGAGGCCCAAUAAGCAAAUUCCCAGCCCAAUCAAGAAAUCCAUCCAUACUUAGUUGAAAAUCAGGCCAAAUUGUCAAAGUGGCCCAAGUUGUAAAGUUUUAUUUUUAUUUAUUUAUUUAUUUAUUUACUUAGUUUAAAUUUUUAUGUCAAUAUUCAGUCCAAGAGUCCCAGAUAAAAUGACCUUUGACCGAAUUUCCAUAUUAAAAUAAUUAGGAGUUUUUUUUAUUUUAGUUUUCUAAUUAGAUUAGGACUAGUUAUAAUGCCUAUUUAAAGGCAUGGCUGUCCACCUUGUUAAACACUUAUCAUUAUUAUUAAAAUUUCAGAUUUGUUGAGAGCAGAAUUUUCUUUGAGUUUUCUCCAAGAUUUCUCUCUUGAGUUUUCUUUAGAAGUUGUUUUAACAAUCUUGUGAUUGUGGGAGCCAUCUUCAACCUUCUUCUUGCCAUUGAUAUUCUUUGGAGGGGAGAUUAGAGCCGUUUGAAGGGAGUUGUGAGAUCUUUCGAGAUUUCAAGGCUUCUUAGGACUUAUCUUUUAAUUUCUUACUGUCAAUUCUUUCUUUAUUUCUACUUGUGUUGAAUCAUUAUCUAAUCUAUUUUCUGUUCUUAUUGUGUUUUCAGCCUUUUUCUAUCUUAAGGAAUCAGCCCAAAAAUCCCCAAUUUCUAGGGUUUUUCCAUACUCUUUUUGGGUGAAAUUAGAUUGUCGAAAUUUGGGGAAAACUAUCUUGGUGUUCAAUUGGGCAGAAUCACAAUCUCCUUGAGGGUUUCAAGAACCCUAACACUUAUUUCUAUUCUCAAUUUGAUUCUUUGCUGAUUUGGGGAUUUUAUUUCAGAUCUGGAAAUUCAAAGUUCUAAUCUUUUAAUUUUUCUGUUUCGUUUCAGAUCUGAUUGUUUAGGGUUUUCGUAGGAGUUUCUCGUGACUUGGCAACUCGAUCUUGGUCCGCGCGCAACCCCGUAUCAGGAAAGUUGUAACAGCCCGAUUUAGACCUAGUCAGAAUAGUGGUUUUGAAACCACAAAUCUGAGUCAAAAAAGUAUUUUUAAUAUUAUUUUAUGUGUUUAUAAUAUGUGAAUUAAUAUCUGUGAAAAUUCUGGGAUUUAAUUUUAUCGUUUGUGUGUUGAAUUAUAAGAAAGGACUAAAUCGUAGAAAGUGCGAAAUUUUCUUCUAUUUGAAUAAUGGCUGAAUUGAUGUGUCUUUAUAAUUUUGAAUGGUUAAUAAACCAUUGGUUGUGCUAAUAGACAAUAAUGACCUUAUAUUAUGUGUUUUAUAAUGGUUUUCAUUAAGGUUAAAUUUGUAAAAUGAUUAUAAAGAUAAUAUAGUUUAAAAAAAGUCAAAUUUUAGUUCAUAUUGUUUCUUCUUAAUCGAAACUACAAAAGAAAAAGAAAGAAAAGACCAAGCUAGGGUUCAGCCAUGUCCAUGCUUGAUUUAAAGUCCGUUUUUAUUCUGUUUUAAAUGAUUUUUAUGUUUUUGUGAUCGUUGUUAUGUGUUUUAGCUAGACCAUGCUUAAAUUCAUGAAAUUGUUGAUGAUUUGAUGAGAUGCCAUUGAUGAAUUCAUGAGCUUUGUAAUGUUAGUUGAUGAAAUAUGGAAGCUUGAUGAUAGGUAAAUAUGUUUUGUAUUGGGAAUUUUGAUGAAUUUGAUUAUUAUGGGCUAAAUUGUGAAAUUUAUAAAUUAAGGGACUAAAAUGUGAAAUAAAUGAAAUAUAUGUGCUUAUAUGAACUACAUGAAUAUUCGGAUAAGUAUGUGUAUAAGGAAAAUUUGUGUUUUUUGUGAUUUUGUUAAUUAGGGACUAAAAUAUCAAAAUAUGAAAAUGUGAGGUCUAAUUUGUAAAUUGCCCUAGUUAUAUGUUUUUGGAUUGAAUUGAAUGAAUUAUUGAAUAAAAGAGUUAAAUUUGAAUGUGUAUAGAUCAAGAACCAAAGAAAACAAAAUUAAAUCGGGGAAAGUCGAAAGUAGUUGAAUUGCCGUUCGUUUCUAUUCAUUCUCGUAUGAGGUAAGUCAAUAUACAAAUAAAUGUAUUUUGAAUUGAAUUAUUAUUGCUUAUAUUCUAUUAAAUAGUGAUGAAUCUAUUUGAGUUGAAUAUGAGAAAUCCAAGAAAGUUUCGAUAAUGUGACGAUGUUUGAAAAGUUCCGUACGAACCAUAGGAAUAGUUAGGAUACAUAUGUCAUGACAUAGGAUACCGAUAUGUGAUUUCAUGUAAGACCACAUCUGGGAUGUUGGCAUCGAUUUGAGAAUUACGUAUAAGACUAUAUCUUGGAUAUCGACAUCAUAUUUGAUUUCGUGUAAGACCCUAUCUGGGACAGUGGCAUCGAUAUUUGAUUACAUGUAAGACCACGUCUGGGACAUUAGCAUUGUACGAGCUUUCCAAACUAUCCACGUAUCCUAUUUGAUUCCGUAUGGUUCAACGGGCACUCCAAGAAAUAAAUGACUAUAUAAAUGUGUAUCCAAUGUAGGUACAUUUGAAAUGUAUAUCUUGUUUGAGAAUGAAAGGUAAGUAUAUGUACAAUUGUGGACAUAUGAUAUAUACAUGAAUUAUCAUGAAAAUGAGAUGUGUUAUAUGUAAGUGAAUUAUGAUCAAAUAGGCUAUAUGAGACAUGUGGAUAUGUGAUUGUGUUUUGCCAUGAGCUACAUGAAUGAAUUGGUUUAAAAAUGUGUUAUGUGAUAAGUUUAUUACAAUGGCUUACUAAGCUUUUGAAAGCUUAUUUUGUGUGUGUUUACAAUUGUUUUGUAGAUAUCGAAGCUACCGGGAGCUCGGGGAUCGUUGAGGAUCAUGAUCACACUAUUGAACUCUAUUUUGGUACUUUUUGAAAAUGUGAAUAUUGAAGUAUGGCAUGUAUAAGCUAGAAGUUUGAAUAUGAUUUGUGAAAUGUAUAUCAUGCUAUGCGAUAUGGCUAGAUUAAAGUUUCCAUUUGGUGUAGUUGUUUUUUUUUUUUGGUAUAUAAGUUUUGUUAAGAAAUGGUAUAUGUUGAUGUGCAUAAAUUGCCUAGUGAGAAAUGGUCAAUUUGGUAAGUUAAUUAUGUGAAUUAGUUAUGAAAAUGGUAUGAUUUUUAUAUAAGAAUGGAUGUGAAAAAUUGGGAUAAUGACAUGUAUGAAUGAAUGAGUUUGGUAUGUUUUGGUUUGGAUAAUAAGGAUGAAAUUGAUUGGUGACAUUGUGGAUUGAAUUAUGCAUGUUUGAGUAUGGUUUUGGUUGCUAUUUGGUCAUGAAUUGUGCUUUGAUUUUGGAUUUGUAGGGAUGACCAUUAAAUGUGGCAAAUUAGCUUUGCAAAUAGCCUAUUUUUGUCCACACCGGUAGAGACACUGGCGUGUGUCUCAGUCGUGUGCGACACACGGUCAUGUUACACGGCCAUGUGUCCCCUGGGGUACCUUUUCGAAUUAGGGUAGUAUACCCUAUAAUUUUGACAUACUCUAGACACACGGGCAUGUUUACUAGCUAUGGGAGUGGCACACGGGCGUGUGGUCAGCCGUGUGGCCAAGUCAGUAACCUCCCUAAUUUUUACAUGGCCUGGCACACAGGCGUGUCUUGUGGCCAUGUGGACAAGUCAGUAUGUAUGCCUUGUUUUGCCACGACCUAGACACACGGACGUGUCUAAUGCCAUGCAAGGCACAAGGGCAUGUGACCUCUGUAACUUUGAAAAUUUGUUAUGUUUUUGAGAAAUUUUGUAUGUGCUCGGUUUAGUUCUUACCCCUUUAUAAAGCAUGUUUAAGGUCUCGUUGACCUAAGAAAGGGAAUUUGAAUUUAUGUUUGACUAUGAUGCUAUGAUGUGUGGAUGUUAUCUGUGAAUUGAUUAUUAAAUGUUCCAAUAUGUUCUGUAAUGCUUCAUAACCCUAAUCCGACAAAAGAUACGGGUUAGGGGUGUUACAUUUUAUUUGGUAUUAGAGCUACGGUUUAGUCAAUUCUAGGACUAAAGUAGCGUAUGUGGGUUUAGCUACACAUGCCAUAUUUAUAAAUUGUGAUAGUAUGAUGCAUCCUGAUAGUUAAAAAUGUGUUUUUAUAUAGUAAAUGGAUCCCAAUCGAGUCGUAGCUGACGAUGAUGAAAGUAUUGCACCCGCUCCCGCUCAAGGGGUAGUGCAAUCAGAUUUUAGACUUGUUACGGGUAGCCACGAGGGAGAGGCUAAGCAAUCCUUUUACCAAAUGAUGAAUGAUUGGUUCACUCAGUAUAUGAGAACUAAUCUAGCUGCUCCACAACCUUCACCCCUGCCUAAUCCUUCACAAGUCCCUAUCAUGCCACAAGUUAAUUCGAUUCAGUUGAAUAAGCCUCUGGUUGAUAAAAUUAAAAAGUACGGGGCUAAAGAGUUUCGAGCUACUACUGAUUUGUUUGUAAAAGAGGGAAGUUCGAAAAUCGAUGCUAUUGAAACAACCAUUGUUGGUUCUUUUGUACAAGGAGAGCUUGCUUGGCACUAACGAAUUUGAUGACAAAUUGCCUUCUUCUAUUUUGUCUGUGUUGCAGGAAUUUCAAGACGUAUUCCCGGAAGAAAUCCCGAGCGGGUUACCACCUAUUCGUGGAAUUGAACACCAAAUCGAUCUUGUGCCGGGAGCCGCAAUUCCAAACCGACCUGCUUACCGGAGCAAUCCUGAAGAGACGAAAGAAUUACAAAAGCAAGUAAAUGAACUCCUUGAAAAGGGCUAUGUGCGUGAAAGCCUUAGUCCAUGCGCCGUGCCUGUUUUACUAGUUCCGAAGAAGGAUGGAACGUGGAGGAUGUGCGUGGACUGCCGUGCUAUAAACAAAAUAACUAUCAAGUAUCAUCAUCCUAUACCACGAUUGGAUGAUAUGCUUGACGAGCUAAGUGGCGCGAGUUUAUUUUCAAAAAUUGACCUUAAGAGCGGUUAUCACCAAAUACGGAUGCGUGAGGGAGAUGAGUGGAAGACUGCGUUCAAAACGAAGCAUGGGCUUUACGAAUGGCUCGUUAUGCCAUUUGGCUUAACGAACGCCCCAAGCACAUUCAUGAGGCUUAUGAAUCACGUUUUAAGACCUUUUAUUGGUAGAUUUUGCGUAGUAUACUUCGACGAUAUAUUGAUCUAUAGUAAAAAUUUGGAUGAACAUAUUUUACAUUUAAAAUCUAUUUUGGAAGUAUUGAGAAAAGAAACCUUGUAUGCUAAUUUUAAGAAAUGUGAUUUCUGCACUAACAAGGUUGUGUUUUUAGGUUUUGUUGUUAGCUCGGAGGGUCUUAAAGUCGAUCAAGAGAAGAUCAAGGCGAUCCAAGAAUGGCCCCGUCCGACGAAUGUCUCCCAAGUCCGAAGUUUCCAUGGACUAGCAAGUUUUUACCGUCGAUUCGUGCCAAAUUUCAGCACCUUAGCCGCACCUUUAACCGGGGUUAUUCGUAAGAAUUCCAACUUCAUUUGGGGAGAGGAACAAGAAAAAUCCUUUUUUAAAAUUAAAGAUUGUCUAACUCAUGCACCAUUAUUAGCUUUGCCUAACUUUGAUAAAACUUUCGAGUUAGAAUGUGAUGCAUCAGGUUUAGGCAUUGGAGCUGUGUUGAUGCAAGAUGGUCGUUGAUACGGGGAAUGCGCGCGGACCAAGAUCGAGUUGCCAAGUCACGGGAAACUCCUACGAAAACCCUAAACAAUCAGAUCCGAAACGAAACAGAAAAAUUAAAAGAUUAGAACUUUGAAUUUCCAGAUCUGAAAUAAAAUCCCCAAAUCAGCAAAGAAUCAAAUUGAGAAUAGAAAUAAGUGUUAGGGUUCUUGAAACCCUCAAGGAGAUUGUGAUUCUGCCCAAUUGAACACCAAGAUAGUUUUCCCCAAAUUUCGACAAUCUAAUUUCACCCAAAAAGAGUAUGGAAAAACCCUAGAAAUUGGGGAUUUUUGGGCUGAUUCCUUAAGAUAGAAAAAGGCUGAAAACACAAUAAGAACAGAAAAUAGAUUAGAUAAUGAUUCAGCACAAGUAGAAAUAAAGAAAGAAUUGACAGUAAGAAAUUAAAAGAUAAGUCCUAAGAAGCCUUGAAAUCUCGAAAGAUCUCACAACUCCCUUCAAACGGCUCUAAUCUCCCCUCCAAAGAAUAUCAAUGGCAAGAAGAAGGUUGAAGAUGGCUUCCACAAUCACAAGAUUGUUAAAACAACUUCUAAAGAAAACUCAAGAGAAAAUCCUUGAAGAACUCAAAGAGAAUUUUCACUCAAAUCAAAUCUAAAAUUUUCCAUGUAAUUGUAAUGUAAUGUAGGGUGGCUGGCCAAGCCAUAUAAAUAGGCCUUUCAAAUGUUUUCCUAAUUUAAUUAGAACACUAAAACUAAAACUAAAAAAAACUCCUAAUUAUUUUAAUAUGGAAAUUCGGCCAAAGGGUCUUUUAUUUGGGACUCUUGGACUGAAUAUAAAAAUUUAAACUAAGUAAAAUAAAUAAAUAAAGAAAUAAAAAUAAAACUUUACAACUUGGGCCACUUUGACAAUUUGGCCUGAUUUUCAACUAAGUAUGGAUGGAUUUCUUGAUUGGGCUGGGAAUUUGCUUAUUGGGCCUCGCCUUCAAGAAUUUGGGCUUUUGUGACUCGUAUCAUUCCCCCUUCCUCAAAAAUAUUCAUCCUCGAAUCUGAAAAAUCAAAUGAACUCGACUUUCCUCUAUCGAACGGGACUAAUGGCAAUUGAGUCCACUGAGAAGAAUAGCCAUGAGAUAGUAAAUAGCAACGGAAAUAAGCUUGUAGUCCAAUCAUAAGCAUAAUAGAACAGGUAUAACGCAUGUGAAUGGAUAGAUUCAGAUUACCAUGCAAACAAUCUAAUUUACUCACCACUGCCUCGUCAAAUAUUUGAAACAAAGAUGGACAUGUUUUAAGGCAUUCAAUCGUCUCACAUUGUUCCCACAAACCAUGAAUAAAUUGCGAGUAAUAAAUCAAAUGGUAAACAUAAUCGUCACAAGUAGGUAUUUGAAAAGAUUCACAUGGUUCACAGAGUUGCAUAAUCAUACCAUGCAUUAAUCGACGGUCUAUAGAUUCACUCACACAUGCAUUAUCAAAAACAAGAAUCUUUUUAUCAACCAUCAAAACAGAUAGAUCAUCAAUAAAUAAAAUAGGACAGUCAAGCACGUUUCGAUCUAAGUGUUCAUCAACACGAUCUUUAUCACUAUCUGGGGAGUACAAAAGUGUUUCAAAGGUUUCAAGCAUCUUACCUCGAUAAGCAGGAGAAUAAGGGUCAAUUUUACCUUUUUCAUUUAAAACAAACCUUCGCUCAUCGGGGGCAUAGUGUAGUCGAAUCUUCGUUGUUGAGUUAACGUUUGUCAAAUGGAACUCAAACUUCAUGUACAACCACAUAAACUGUUUAAGGCACGAAUAUAAAUUGAAAACAAAUUUGGAAAAUUUCGUUACCUUAUUCUCCAAAACAGAUUUGGACAAAUUCGAGGAUUUUACACAAGGUAAAUCAAGAGAAUAACAAAUCACGCUUCUUUUCGUAAUGACUGUAUCAACCACAAUCGAAGAGUAACAAUUAAUUAGAUCAAAAUGAGGGGAUCUUUUAAGAACUAAGUCACCAAAAGUUUGAUCAAUAAUUUUCAAAUCUGCACUGGACUCGGUUUCUAAAAUUUCCUUACCUCGCUUACCUUCGGGAUCAUGUAGUGUGAUUUCAUCUUUGCCUAAGUUGAUCGUAUGAAAGCGUCUUUCAUUUGAGAGGUAUUGAAGUUGAAAGUUAUCUUUCGAUCUUUCGGGAACCUGAAAAGUAGCAACACAAGAAAAAUUCAUAUCUUGGUUAGUGGAAACAUUCCUCACUACCCUUUCCACGUCUUUUUCUUUUGUUUCUUUUUCUAAUUCAUUUUCUCUUCUUUAUUCAAUUUCUUUUUCACUCUCAAUCUCUUUUUGCUCUUUUUCAUUCUCUUUUUCUUUUUCCUCACUUGUUUUAACAGAAUUUUUCAGUUAGAUUUGGUCCUCAUGGACUUGUUCCAGAGUGAGCGGCACUAAGGUGAGUUUCUUUCCUUGAUGCUUGAAAGAAUACCUAUUGGUACGACCAUCGUGAGUGACUUUUCGAUCCAGUUGCCACGGUUCUCCUAGCAACAAAUGGCAGGCUUGAAUAGGCAUUACGUCGCACACAACUUCGUCUUGAUACUUACCGAUAGAAAAGGCGAUGCGCACUUGUUGAGUGACCCUAAAUUGGCCUUCGUUGCUAAGCCCUUGUAGUUGAUAAGGUUGAGGAUGCUUGGUAGUGGUUAAGCAAAGCUUUUCCACCAUCGUCGUGCUGGCUAUGUUCGAGCAACUUUCACCAUCAAUAAUAACUCUACAAAGCUUACCUUGUACGUGGCAGCGAGUAUGAAAGAGAUGUUCUCGUUGCUGCUCGCUCUUUGGUUUUGCCAAAGAUGAUUGUCCAUGAUCAUGACAAUCAUCAUCCAUUCUAGGGACACGUUGAGGGUUGCACCUAUGGGGCUGGUUAUCCCUAUCUUCCUUAAUUGGAUCUCGAUAUUGAUGUUUUUGAUUCACUCGUACCUCAUUCAAAGUAGUAUUCAAUGCUUGAAGUGUAGCAUUUAUUUGUGUGAUUGCAGCAGUAUGUCAGUCUAACUGUUGUUGGACUUUCAUAAGUGCAUCAUUAUUACCACCUUUAGACAUCUUCAAAACCUGUAAAAAAUAAACACUCAACACUCAAAAAUAAAAGUUAGCAAACCUCACCAUUAAUCACUCAAAAAGAAAAAUCAAAUUCUCAAUGAGGUCGAAUUCAAUCUUGUGAGUUCUUUAUCAGAGUUUAUAUCAACCAAUUAGAGAGUGUGAACCAAACUACCAAAGAAUCCUAAUUUGCACUAGGAUGCCAAAAACUGACGAGACACCAAGUGAUUCGUGUUGCACCGAGGAAGGAGUUGUGCACACGUGUAAAUCCUACUAACACAAGAAACAAGAAGGUGUUAGAUAACGUAACGGAAGAAUAAAAGCAAACAAAUGAAAACCUACAGCUAAGAAUCAAUAAAAAUUGCUGAAAACAGAAAACCCGAAAAACUGUGGAGUAACUUGACAACUUCGUUCGAGGUGUUCCCGAUCUCCAAAAAUCACGAAAUUAAAUCUCGAAUGUCCUUAAAUAGUUAAUUUUUUAUCUGGAAAUUUCGGGCACCAAAUUCAACCCGCUGAAUCUUUUUUAAAAUUUUUAUUGAAUUUCGUCUUUUUUAUUUUUUUGACUUUUUUGACUGAUUUUUUUCCAGGAAUAAUUUUUUUAUAUUCAAUCACAGUGCCAAAAACAUGUAUGUAAAAUUUCAGAUCAAUAGGACAACGUUUACCCACUCAAAUGAAUUUUUUUUGAACAAUUUUUCUAGGUAAAACUGCUGUUUAUGCUUUAAAAAAUAGAGAUCAGUUUAGAAAUCAACCAAGAACACCCAAAACGCCCAAAAUCUGAUACCAAAUGAUAUAGGGUUGCGCACGGACCAAGAUCGAGUUGCCAAGUCACGAGAAACUCCUACAAAAACCCUAAACAAUUAGAUCCGAAACGAAACAUAAAAUUAAAAGAUUAGAUUUUUGAAUUUUCAGAUCUGAAAUAAAAUCCCCAAAUCAGCAAAGAAUCAAAUUGAGAAUAGAAAUAAGUGUUAGGGUUCUUGAAACCCUCAAGGAGAUUGUGAUUCUGCCCAAUUGAACACCAAGAUAGUUUUCCCCAAAUUUUGACAAUCUAAUUUCACCCAAAAAGAGUAUGGAAAAACCCUAGAAAUUGGGGAUUUUUGGGCUGAUUCCUUAAGAUAGAAAAAGGCUGAAAACACAAUAAGAACAGAAAAUAGAUUAGAUAAUGAUUCAGCACAAGUAGAAAUAAAGAAAGAAUUGACAGUAAGAAAUUAAAAGAUAAGUCCUAAGAAGCCUUGAAAUCUCGAAAGAUCUCACAACUCCCUUCAAACGGCUCUAAUCUCCCCUCCAAAGAAUAUCAAUGGCAAGAAGAAGGUUGAAGAUGGCUCCCACAAUCACAAGAUUGUUAAAACAACUUCUAAAGAAAACUCAAGAGAAAAUCCUUGAAGAACUCAAAGAGAAUUUUCACUCAAAUCAAAUCUGAAAUUUUCAAUGUAAUUGUAAUGUAAUGUAGGGUGGCUGGCCAAGCCAUAUAAAAAUUUAAUUAGAACACUAAAACUAAAACUAAAAGAAACUCCUAAUUAUUUUAAUAUGGAAAUUCGGCCAAGGGUCUUUUAUUUGGGACUCUUGGACUGAAUAUAAAAAUUUAAACUAAGUAAAAUAAAUAAAUAAAUAAAUAAAAAUAAAACUUUACAACUUGGGCCACUUUGACAAUUUGGCCUGAUUUUCAACUAAGUAUGGAUGGAUUUCUUGAUUGGGCUGGGAAUUUGCUUAUUGGGCCUCGCCUUCAAGAAUUUGGGCUUUUGUGACUCGUAUCAUUCGUCCUAUUGCCUAUUUUAGUGAGAAACUGAAUGGUGCUGUCUUAAACUAUCCAACAUAUGACAAGGAGCUCUAUUCGUUGAUCCGAGCCUUAGAAACGUGGCGACACUAUCUUUGGCCCAAGGAAUUCGUCAUACACACCGAUCAUGAGUCCUUGAAGUAUUUAAAGGGGCAACACAAGUUGAAUAAGCGACACGCUAAGUGGGUAGAAUUUCUCGAAUCUUUUCCCUACGUUAUUAAAUAUAAGAAAGGUAAGGAAAACGUAGUGGCUGAUGCACUAUCUCGAAGGUAUGCGUUGCUAAAUAUUUUGGAUGCUAAGUUAAUGGGGUUUGUAUUUCUUAAAGAUUUAUAUGUCAACGAUGCUGACUUUGGUGAAUUCUUUAGAUUAUGUGCCAAGGGAGCCUACGAGAAGUACUAUCGACAUGAUGGGUACUUAUUCCGAGAAGGAAAGCUUUGUAUACCCCAAGGUUCCGUACGAGAAGUGUUGAUCGAAGAAGCCCAUAGCGGAGGAUUAAUGGGGCACUUUGGUGUUGCUAAGACAUUAGCUACAUUGCACGAACAUUUCUUUUGGCCCAAGAUGCGACGAGAUGUCGAACGAUUUUGUAAUAGAUGCAUUGCGUGCAAACGGGCUAAGUCGCGGAUUAAGCCCCACGGUUUGUAUAAACCAUUACCUAUUCCCGAAACCCCUUGGUCUGAUAUCUCCAUGGAUUUCGUGCUAGGUUUACCUAGGAGUAAGAAUGGCCGAGAUUCAAUAUUUGUGGUUGUAGAUAGGUUCUCAAAAAUGGCCCAUUUUAUAGCAUGUCAUAAAACUGAUGAUGCCGUUAAUAUUGCUAACUUAUUUUUCAAAGAGGUGGUCAGGUUGCAUGGCAUGCCUAGAACGAUCGUGUCCGAUCGAGACGCAAAAUUCCUUAGCCAUUUUUGGAGGACACUAUGGGGGCGUCUUGGAACGAAGUUGCUGUUUUCAACCACUUGCCAUCCGCAAACGGACGGCCAAACCGAAGUGGUCAACCGAAUUCUGUCUACAUUGCUUCGAGCUAUUAUUCGGAAGAAUGUGAAGGCUUGGGAAGAAUGCUUACCACAUGUGGAGUUUGCGUAUAAUCGAGCUGUUCAUUCAGCUACCAAAUUUUCUCCUUUUGAAAUUGUCUAUGGUUUCAAUCCAUUAACUCCACUUGAUUUAUUGCCAUUGCCUUCUAAUCAACUUGUUCAUGUAGAUGGGAAGCGCAAAGCUGAUUUCGUCAAGCAAUUGCACCAACGAGUUCGAGACAAUAUUGAGGCCAAGACCAAGAACUAUGAGCAACAUGCUAACAAAGGUCGUAAGCGAGUUGUGUUCGAACCGGGAGAUUGGGUUUGGUUGCAUAUGCGCAAGGAGAGAUUUCCUAUGCAAAGGCGAUCCAAACUUCUUCCGAGAGGGGAUGGACCGUUUCAAGUCCUUGAGCGAAUUAACGAUAACUCCUAUAAAUUGGACUUGCCUGGUGAAUAUAAUGUUAGCGCGACUUUUAACGUUUCUGAUUUGUCUCCGUUUGAUGCAGAUUCUGAUUUGAGGGCAAAUCAUUCUGAAGAGGAGGGGAAUGAUGUGAGCUUGCCUACGAACCAAAUGGAGAACGAACAAGAAGCCAUUAAGCUGCCCAUUGGUCCAAUAACGCGAGCUAGAGCUAGACGAUUCAAAGAUGCUAUUUUAGCAAUGGUGGAAUGGGUUGAGGAAAAUGAUAGCAAGGAGUUUAAAAACGAGCUGAACAUAUUCAACUUCUUUGAAGCUGAAUUUCGUUCUAGCUAAUUAAUUUGCUGCUGGAAUUUUAGACCAUUUAAAUAAGCAUUUAAAUAAGUUUCAUUACAGCUUUUAAAUAUGUCUUAAUUUAUUACAAGUGUUUAAUAUGUUGAUUUGGUUGAAUUAAAGGUGUCUAGAUGUCAUUUAAUUUGUUUGAAUAUAUUACAUGAAUUAACUAUGUUCAGCCGAAUUAAUGUGUCUUGUUUAGUACAUAUUUAAUUCGGCUUAAUGUUAAUUAGUAUGUUCAUAUUAUGUUUUAAAUUAAUUCAGCUGAAUUGAGUUAAAUUAAUGAGGUUCAUUUGUUUUAUUUAGGUUCAGCCGAAUGUGGAAGAUGCAUGGGAAAGGUUGGCCGAAUGUGGUGUGCAAGAUGCAUGCAUGUUGGAUUCAAUGCACCUAAUGAUACAUGCAUGAACUACAUUAAAAAUGGUGUGCUGAUUAUUGAAGUUCUCUAAGUGACCAUUCGGCUAAAGAGAUAGUUUUUCAAGCUGCCAUUAUUUCCUUCACAUUGCUGGAUACAUUUUGGCCAUUCGGUUCUUGGUGUUCACAUUUUAAGGCUCUUCAAAACCGUCCAUUCACACCUAAUGUGGCUGUUCAAGUGCCCUCUUUAUUAUUGAUAAUUUUUCAGCAAGAGUUGCCUAUUGAAUGAUCAUUUAAGCUCAUCAGCUGAAUGUAGCUGCUACAUGCAUUCCCAAGAUUCAUUUGCUUAAUAUGGAAGCUUCAUGUAUGGUCACCAUUCAGCCGAACCUACUGAUACGACCCCGCCCCGGAAACAUUUUUGGUUCAGCUCAUUCGAGCUCAAUUCAGCUCAUUAAGCUCGUUAUUAGCUCACUAGCUCAUUUAAUUUAAUUUGCUGGAAUAAAUUAAUUAGUUAAGUUAGUUAUUUUAGCUUAAAUAAUUACUAAGUAUUUAAUUAAGAAAUCUGGACAUUUUAAAUAUGUUUUAUUGGUUUUAAUGCAUGCUUUAAAUUUGUCUUAAGACUAUUUAAAUGUGUUCUAUUUAGUACAGCUUUUAAUGUGUCUGGACGGAUUUAAUGCUGUUGUUUAAUGUGUCUUUAGUGCUUUAAAGGGCCGAAUUUAAUAUGUCUAAUUGUUGACUUAAUUCAGCCGAAUUAAUGAACCACUUUAAGGUGUCUUGUGGCUGCCGAAUUUAAUUGUAAUGUGCAUGAAUUAUUUGACCGAAUUUAUUUUGUGUCUGCAGGUCAUUGAAUUCGGCUAAAUGGCAAAGGAAACAUGCAUUUAAGGAGAUGUUCCCAUGCAUGGAACGGCAUUUAAAGGGAAGUUGGCUGCUGUAUUUUUCCUAAACAGCCGAAUUUAAUAUGCCUUAUUGACCCAAUUUUGUUUUGCCUUAAAACUUGAGUUAAUGGCUGAUUUAAAUGUGUGCAGGUGCAUGGAUAUGGGGACAAAUUUAAAGAACAAUUUAUUAUGUAGAAGCAUGCAUGAACGGCAUUAAAGGAAGCAUGCAUUGUGUUUCUAUACAUCCAUUUUCGUGCAUAGCAAAGGACUCAUUAAGGGCUGCUGAUUCCUAUUUCCUAUGAGCCUUUUCGUGAAGAUCAAUGGCUCUUGAAUUUUGGUGCAUGCUUGGACGACAUUAAAUUGGUUGCUGCAUUCUUCUCCCUAUGCAUGGGACGGCAUUAAAAUCCCUCUUCUCCAUGUGCUAUUUCGGUCCCUUCAAUAGAGCCAUUAAUGUGCCGUCUCAAUUAAGAGAAUGCAUGAGCAGCAAAUUAAAACCUGCAUUUAAGCUGCUGUUUGAGCUCACCUAGGAGCCUUUUUCGUGGGAAACAAAGGAGCCUUAAAAGCACCAUCCAAAUUGAAGGGAUGAAUGGGCAGAUUCUAGAAGUCAAAUUUAUUACCCAUGAUGAAUAAACAUUUGCUUCAUGACUAAGGAUGCAUCUAUGGAUGGCAAGGGGGGGACGAAUGUGACUUAAAUUUCAUUCAAUGGAUGAACAUAUAUCAUUAAAAUCGGUUCAUGGGCUGAUUCAUGUUACUUAUUAAUGGUCAGAAUUGGCUAUUCAUGUCCUAGUUUUAGUAUAAAUAGUUGGCUUGUAAACAUGUAAAAGGUUAGACAAUAUACUUUUAAACUUUAUAUGAAAUUUGUUUACUUUGUGAGUUUGUUUUCAACUCUCAUUGUUCUCCAAAGACUCGUCUGACUUAUCAAGUAACCCUUGUGGCGUCAACCCGUCUUUCUAUCCGAACUUAUCACUUUAAUCCCAAAAGUGUGGCGUUCGAUUCGUACUGAGGUUCCUAUCAUUUUUGAUAGCGGGUCGAAGUUUCUAUCCACUUAACAAACCUUCCAUCAACACCCUACCAACCUAAGCAUUCUCCUAAGUUACGGGUUAACACACUCCUAUUGUGUUAGUUCGGCUUUUGAAUACUUAGCUCAAACUUCAUCCAUUGAUUUAUGUUUCAUUUCCUAAACCAACAAAACUUUAUUGAGCCUAAAUAAUUCCUUUUCUUCUAGCCUAUUUUGUAAAGCUUUCAAAUUACUCCAAUUCACGAUCGGGCACAACAACGACUCGGAUUCAUCAACGAGGCCGGGGGCGUAUCAUUUGGUAUCAGAGCUAGCUAAAUCGGAGUAAGAUCGACGUUAUCGGUAUUACGGUAUUGUAAAAAAAUAUAAAAAAAAAUUUGAAAAAAAAAAUUUUUGAAAAAAAAAAAUUUCAAAAAAAAAGUUUGUAUUCAAUUUAUUUGUACUUUUUGUAUUUAGUAUUGAAGAAAAAAAAAAGAAAAAAAAAAUUCGAAAUUAAAAAAAAAAGAAGAAAAAAAAAAUCAAAAUUGAAAAAAAAAAAGAGUGAUUGAAAUUCAUUUUGGGUUUGUAAAAGCAUUGCUUGUUGCCCGAAGGACCAUAUCUAUAUAGCCACACUUAACCAUUUCUAUUUUGUUUGAUAGCCUACCACUUCCGACGUCAUUACCACCAAGCCAAAUUAAUUUUGUAAGCCGACGCCAAACGGUAUUAAUUUGUCGACUUAGUUUGCGAAGAACUUCGAGAAGCGAAAAUCGAGUGGAAAAAGGCAAGAGUGUUUGGUGAGACCAUUCGAGAGAAGUAAAAGCCAAAUUUGUGCGAAUUUUUCUUUGCGAGUGAAACGUGAGAUUUUUUGUGGUGAGAAUUAAAUCAUGUUUCAAGAAGAAUUUUCUGAAUCAGAUUUCCAAUAUUUAAUGCAAGAAAUGCGUAGAAUGGUGAAAUCAAAUUUUGAUAUAUUGCAUGAUAGAUUGGAUCGAAUAGAGACAAGAGCCCAACAAAAACAAAUUCCAUCGAGACAAGAGACGGAGUUAAGAUCAUUCCGACGACACUACUCGACAAGAGACUCUUAUCAAGACGUCUAUCCAACAAGGCGUUCGAGACCAAGAGAAGCAAACUACGAGUUUGAGUCCUUCCGAGAUGAUAUACAAAAAGGUAAUCAUGUCUCUACAAAUGCCUCAAUUUAUUCAACUACGAAGGAUUAUUUACGAAGAGGCGAACGUGUUUCAAGAAUGUCAAAGUACUCGAAUACGGAGGGUUAUUCACAAAGAGAUGAUCGUGACUUGCAUGAUGAAUCUGCCAUUUCUUUCAAACGAGAAGCUUGUCGUUAUGGUUCUUAUAAGUUAUCAUCUUCUUGUAAUGAAAGAACAAGACAAAAAGAAAAUAGAAGAAAAGAAAGACAAGAGAUGUUGAUGCAAGAAAAUGAACGAAUCUUGAAUGAAAUUGAGAGAAGAAAAAAAGAAAAUGAGAGUGAGAAAAAGAAAAAAGAAUUUGAGAUUGAGAUUGAUAUUGAUAUUGAUAUUGAGAAAAAAAUUGAAAAGGAAAAAGAUGUUGAAAAAGAAAUGAGAGAAAAGGAAGAUGGUGAGCGAGAACAAGAAAAAGAGAGGAAAAUUUUAACUAACCCCCGAGAUGUUUGUUUUUGUUCUGUUCCUUCUUUUCAGGUUUCGACAAAUCUCUAUGACGAAUAUCAACUUCAAUAUCUUCCUGACGAGCGACGUUUUUGCCUGACCGAAAAAGGUAAGGAUGAAGUUGAAAUUGAACCACAUGAGCCCGAAGGUAAGAUAGGUAAGGAACACCUAGCACUUGAAUUUCCAUUAUCUUCCUUGAAUGUGGAUAAACAUAAUGUCGACUUCAUCUUUGUAAAAGCUCCAUGCCAAAAAGUGGUUGAUUUUCCUUCAUUGAUUAGUGUUUUAAUCUCAAAUGGUGGUGAGACGAGUUUUCCCAAAACAAAUUUUUGUGUUGACAAGUUUGGUUUAAUGAACUCUUUGCUACUCUUUGGCGUUAAUAAUCAAAAUCAAAUUUUUAAACCCAGAAUCUGUUUUAGUACAUUUGUUGGGAAAUUCAAGCAUGACCAAUUGUGUGCGAACAAUUUCUAUUGUUUUGAUGCUUGGUUGUUCAAUAAGGAAACGAGGUAUGAUAAAUUUGAUUUCAAUUCAAUCCUUAGUCUAUUUCUGUGGUUAUACCUGAAGUACGUAUUUCAUUUCGACAAGGUUAAUUCCACCAAGGAGCUUCGAUUGCAUUACAAGUCCAAGGAGAGAAGAUUUGUGAUGAUCGAUGAAGGUAAAAAUGAUCCUUGUUUUUCCAUUCUUCAAGGUGAACAAGGUAUGACUCAUGAGAACUUUAAAAUCUUUCUGCCCUAUUCGGUUGGAAAUAAACAUCUUUUUGAAGAAUUGGUUUUUGCAAAGUAUUUCAAUCGUGAAGUGUUUAAUUGUUCAGCUUUAUUUGAAAGUGAUUUAUCUAUUUUGAUUGAUGCUGAUAAUGCGAAUUUGGAAGAACCCAUCGUUCAAUUUCCAUUGCCAAGUUUUAUUGUGCGAGAUUUCUAUUCAUUUGUUUGUGAUGAAAGGAUUAUGCUGAUGGUAUCUUCAUUUCGUUUGAAAUAUGUUGGUAAGACUAUUAUUGUUGAUAAAUUUGUUGGUGAAUCAAUAGGCAAACGUCCACUACAUGUUUCAAUCGAACAAAAGCAUGAAUCCAAUGGUUUUUUUUAUUUACCUGAUAAUGUAGAAAAUGUGUGGUCGUUGAAUUGUUGUGAAAGCUUACUAUGUUUGAACGAAGAAAUUUGGAAAAGAUUCAAGGCAAAUGAACGUUUUAACAUUCCUGAUUUUGUGAGCCUAUCCAUUCCAUGCUAUCGUAAAGGGUUGUAUAAGGACAAACUUUUUAUGAGGGACAAGAAGCUCGACUUGAGGGCAAGUCGCUUCGAAGAAGGGGGGGAUGAUACGACCCCGCCCCGGAAACAUUUUUGGUUCAGCUCAUUCGAGCUCAAUUCAGCUCAUUAAGCUCGUUAUUAGCUCACUAGCUCAUUUAAUUUAAUUUGCUGGAAUAAAUUAAUUAGUUAAGUUAGUUAUUUUAGCUUAAAUAAUUACUAAGUAUUUAAUUAAGAAAUCUGGACAUUUUAAAUAUGUUUUAUUGGUUUUAAUGCAUGCUUUAAAUUUGUCUUAAGACUAUUUAAAUGUGUUCUAUUUAGUACAGCUUUUAAUGUGUCUGGACGGAUUUAAUGCUGUUGUUUAAUGUGUCUUUAGUGCUUUAAAGUGCCGAAUUUAAUAUGUCUAACUGUUGACUUAAUUCAGCCGAAUUAAUGAACCACUUUAAGGUGUCUUGUGGCUGCCGAAUUUAAUUGUAAUGUGCAUGAAUUAUUUGACCGAAUUUAUUUUGUGUCUGCAGGUCAUUGAAUUCGGCUAAAUGGAAAAGGAAACAUGCAUUUAAGGAGAUGUUCCCAUGCAUGGAACGGCAUUUAAAGGGAAGUUGGCUGCUGUAUUUUUCCUAAACAGCCGAAUUUAAUAUGCCUUAUUGACCCAAUUUUGUUUUGCCUUAAAACUUGAGUUAAUGGCUGAUUUAAAUGUGUGCAGGUGCAUGGAUAUGGGGACGAAUUUAAAGAACAAUUUAUUAUGUAGAAGCAUGCAUGAACGGCAUUAAAGGAAGCAUGCAUUGUGUUUCUAUACAUCCAUUUUCGUGCAUAGCAAAGGACUCAUUAAGGGCUGCUGAUUCCUAUUUCCUAUGAGCCUUUUCGUGAAGAUCAAUGGCUCUUGAAUUUUGGUGCAUGCUUGGACGACAUUAAAUAGGUUGCUGCAUUCUUCUCCCUAUGCAUGGGACGGCAUUAAAAUCCCUCUUCUCCAUGUGCUAUUUCGGUCCCUUCAAUAGAGCCAUUAAUGUGCCGUCUCAAUUAAGAGAAUGCAUGAGCAGCAAAUUAAAACCUGCAUUUAAGCUGCUGUUUGAGCUCACCUAGGAGCCUUUUUUGUGGGAAACAAAGGAGCCUUAAAAGCACCAUCCAAAUUGAAGGGAUGAAUGGGCAGAUUCUAGAAGUCAAAUUUAUUACCCAUGAUGAACAAACAUUUGCUUCAUGACUAAGGAUGCAUCUAUGGAUGGCAAGGGGGGACGAAUGUGACUUAAAUUUCAUUCAAUGGAUGAACAUAUAUCAUUAAAAUCGGUUCAUGGGCUGAUUCAUGUUACUUAUUAAUGGUCAGAAUUGGCUAUUCAUGUCCUAGUUUUAGUAUAAAUAGUUGGCUUGUAAACAUGUAAAAGGUUAGACAAUAUACUUUUAAACUUUAUAUGAAAUUUGUUUACUUUGUGAGUUUGUUUUCAACUCUCAUUGUUCUCCAAAGACUCGUCUGACUUAUCAAGUAACCCUUGUGGCGUCAACCCGUCUUUCUAUCCGAACUUAUCACUUUAAUCCCAAAAGUGUGGCGUUCGAUUCGUACUGAGGUUCCUAUCAUUUUUUAUAGCGGGUCGAAGUUUCUAUCCACUUAACAAACCUUCCAUCAACACCCUACCAACCUAAGCAUUCUCCUAAGUUACGGGUUAACACACUCCUAUUGUGUUAGUUCGGCUUUUGAAUACUUAGCUCAAACUUCAUCCAUUGAUUUAUGUUUCAUUUCCUAAACCAACAAAACUUUAUUGAGCCUAAAUAAUUCCUUUUCUUCUAGCCUAUUUUGUAAAGCUUUCAAAUUACUCCAAUUCACGAUCGGGCACAACAACGACUCGGAUUCAUCAACGAGGCCGGGGGCGUAUCACCUACAUUGGCCAUUUUUGUUCAAUGUUUGCUUAGAAACUAAGUCUAGAAUAUGUCCAUUCGGCUACUAGGCAUUAGGCUAUAAAUAGUUACUCAUUUUCUUGUAAAAUGACUUUUGACAAAUUUCUGAAAGAAAUAUCAUUUUAGUGAGGCAAUUCACUCUCUUUAUUCUCCAAAGCUCUAAUUGACUUAUCUUCAACAAGUGGCGUCAAUCUGACUUUGUUUCGAACUUAUCACCAUUGGUGUGGCGUUCUUCAUACCGUAGGUUCCUAUUUUGCUAAAUAGAGGGUCUCGAUUUUAUCCCAAAUCAUUUCUUUCUUUGAAACCUUAAGCCCCGGGUCCUUAUUUGCUAAUAAGGGUUCGACUUGUUUUCAUUGAAAUAUCCAGCAAACAUCACUCCAUCAACUCCCUUGUUUCCCAAAGCCAUUUAAUUUUAAACAUCAAGACUUGAAUUUAUUUCAAGGCCGACACUACCUAAUUUCGAUCGGGAAAUAUUACGACUCGUUAUUUCAUACGAAACGAGCUCGUAUCAGGUGUAGGAAGAUGGUUGAACGCCACACCGAUUCGGUGAUAAGUUCAAUGGAGUUCGGAUUGACACCACUAGCAAGCUAGUUAAGUCGCUUCGAGACUCGAACGAAAGAAGAGAGGAGGUAACCUCACAAGAACAAAAGUUCUAUUAAGUUUAAUUGAUCAAAUUCUGUAACCUUUUUACAAAGAGAAAAGAACUAUUUAUAGAUUACAUUAGAUAGCCAAAUAGACUAAGUAAAUUCGGCUUUAAUUGAAUUAAACUAAUCUAGAAAUGUAUCUUUAAAGGCUAUGUCCAAAUUCAGCUGAAUGGUACUUCAAUGGGCAGCUUCAUGGCUAAGGAAAUGAACUUGAAGGCUUGGUGAAUGUAUGGGAGAGCAAUGGACAUGUCUAGGUUCGGCCAAGGUGUGAAUGGACACUCCAAGAGAUGCCUUUUGGCCGAAUAGGUACUUAGGAGAUCAAUGGACAGCAACCGAUGCAUGUAAGUGAACAUUCAUGCAUUCUUCCAUUCAUUGUAUUAAAUCAUUCAUGCAUCAUCCUUACGUUCAUUGAACCAGCCCAUUCAUGAAUCAUCUUUAAUUGUGUUCCCACAUCAUGCAUUGUAAGUAGACGUUCAUGCACCUAGCUUGAAUGAAUCUCCACAUUCGGCUGUACCUACAUGAAACAUGAACAAAUUAAUUAAAAUAGAUAUAUUAAUUAAAACAUUGAUACGACCAUGCCCCGGGCACACUUUUGGAUCAGCUCCCUAAGCAUUGUUUGCAAAUCCAUGCGAGCUGAAUUAGUUCAAUUUCAUUUCGUUAAGCUCUGUUUAGCUCGUUUCCAGCUCACUCAAGCUCAAGUCAACUCACUCAAGCUCAAUUCAGCUCAAUCUUAACCCAAUGAGCUUAUUUUUAGCUUUCUUUAGCUUGCAUUUAUUUUGCUGAAAUAAACCAUUUAAUUUGUCAUUAGUUAAAUUAGUUGUUUAUCUUAAGUUAGUUAAUUUGUUAAAAUCUGGACAAAUAAUUAAUUAAGUGUUUUAAUUAUAUCUAAAUUAAAUACUUAAUUAAUUAUGAUGUUUUAAAUAUGUCUAAAAUUGUUAAUAUGUAUGGCCAAAUUUAAUGUGCAAAUUAUUGAGUUCAUAUGCUGCUAAUUUAAUGUGUUUGAAAUGCAUUUAACUUGCUGAUUUAAUUUGCUGCAGGUUCAUGAAUGGAUUGGUGCAAUGUAUGGGAGUGUGCAUGCACAAUUGAGGUUCAAUGGAUGGCAUUUAAAGGAGCACAUGCAUUUGGGACGUUCAUGCAAGAGGGAGUUGCUGAAAGUUCAUGUAUUUGAAGAUUCAUGGAUCAUAUUUAUGGGGGAAAAUACAUGGGACGUUUCAUGCAUUUUCAAGAUGACCAUUCAAGUAUUUUAGGCACAUUAAUGCCUCAUUCAGCCAAGGGAGAUGUAGGAUCAUUAAAGAGCUGCACAUUCAUGGAAUUAUGGAGAUUCUUCAAGGCUAAGGAUGCAUGAAUGCAUCAAGUGAAGCAUCAUGAUGGUUCGGCCAAUUCAUGUACCAUCUUCAAGCAUGAACUGGAUUUUAAUGCUAUUUGUGUGAACAUGUUAAAUACCUGUGUGAACAGAAUUUAAGUUAGUGUGAACAACAUAGAUGCCGAAUAUCAAUAGGCAUGUUAGGCUUAUAAAUAGCUUACUUGUUUAUUGUAAAAGGUUACAGAAUUUGAUCAAUUAAACUUAAUAGAACUUUUGUUCUUGUGAGGUUACCUCCUCUCUUCUUUCGUUCGAGUCUCGAAGCGACUUAUCUAGCUUGCUAGUGGUGUCAAUCUGAACUCCAUUGAACUUAUCACCGAAUCGGUGUGGCGUUCAACCAUCUUCCUAUACCUUUGGUUCUUACCUCCAUAUAGGUAACAGGUCAAGGUCCGCUUCUAUCCUUCAUCAAAAUUCACCUUAAGCAAUAUAAGACUCGGGGCAAUACUUUUUAGUAUUGAAUCAUUCUUAAAGUUUGAGUUCUUUAUCCAUUUCCAUUUAUUUAUCAUCUUUGUAACUUAAUUCUUUGUUAAACCGAACCUAUCUUUCAUCAAACCAAAACCAUCUUUUGAACCCAUUUUCUCAACUUCCGCUAUAAAAAAUCAUCUAACUCCAUCUAUCUACAAAUUCGAACAAACUUCUCGUUGACGAUCGGGCAAUCAAGUGAAUCGACUCAAUCAACUGAGCCGGAUCACAUCAUUUGGUAUUAGAGCUACUAAAACGAGGAGUGCCGACAUUCGUAUCAAGCUCAGAGUAGGUUCGUAAUGUAAAAAAAAAGUCAAAAAAAAUAAAAAAAAUUUGAGUUGGAAUUUAAUUUUUUUUCUCUUCCUUGUAUUUUGUUUACUAUUGUAUUGGAUUUAAAAAAAAGAGAAGAAAUUCAGAAAAAAAAUUUCAAAAAAAAAGGAAAAAAAAAGAAGUGACCAAAAAAAAUUGAGUUAAAAAAAAGAAGAAAGAAAAAAAAAGUGAAAAGUCUUGCGAGUUUUUAUCAUUAUCACUUAUUACUCCGAUCAUCAAGUUUCCCUUCCUACCAUUAUUUACCCAUCCCAACGCCACACUUUAAACCAAUUUUCUUCUUUAUUCAACCUACCCUACACCCGACAUUAUCCCUUGUAACCAAUUUGAAACCGACCCUCAAGCAGCAAAUUAAGUCUACCGAGACAAAUCACAAAAUUGUGAGAAGAGGUUGAGUGGAAAAAGGCACGAGUGAAAUUACAUCAAAGAAAAAGCCAAAAUUUGAAUGUAAACACGAGUGCGAGUGAAAAUCAUUAUUUCCUUUUCGAGCGAAUUUGUGAGGUUUGUGGUAAGGUAUUUAUUUUCUUUAUUAUUUUUUUUCUAACAUCUUCUUGUCAUUACUUAAUCAUGUCUCGAGAAACAUUUCUCGAAUCAGAAUUCCAAUAUUUGAUGCAAGAGAUGCAUAGAAUGGUGAAAUCAAAUUUUGAUAAAUUGCAUGAUCGAUUGGAUCGAGUGGAGGAAAGAGCCCAAUGGAAGCCAAACUCACCGGGUGAAGAGACAGAGACAAGAUCAUCACGAAGGCACACAUCUAUUGAUUUUUUGGGAAGAGAUUCAUACCAUGAUUCCUAUUCAACGAGGAACUCAAGACGAAGCAAAGCAAGUUUUGAGUUUAAAGCUUUCCGAGGUGACGAACGAGAAAUCACAAGUAGUCCUUCGUAUGCACCGAGGUAUUCGUCCGCCAAGAAUCAAUCUCGAAGAGGUGAUCAUUUUUUGUAUGAAAGUCGUUCCAAUUAUACCCAACGAGAGUCAUUUCGUGCUGAUUCAUUUGUAACAUCUCCAUCCUAUAAUGAAAGAGUGAGGCAAAAAGAAAAGGAAAUAAGAAGAAAGGAAAGACAAGAAAUGUUGAUGAGAGAAAAUGAGCAUAUAUGGAAUGAAAUCGAGAGACGAAAAAAAGAAAUGAAAGAAAAGGAACAAGAAAUUGAAAAAGAGAGUGAGAUUGAAGAAAGAAACGAGAGUGUAAAAGAAACGAGUGUCAUGGAAAAAGAAAUUGAGAUUGAAAAAGGAUGUGAAAAAGAGAAAGAAAUCGAAAAAGAAAUUGAGAUUGAACAAAAGUGUGAGGAAAAAGAGAAAAUUGAAAAAGAAAGAAAAGACAAUGAGUUAGAAAAAAAAACGAGAGAAAAGGAGGCAAAAGAGUAAGAAAAAGUGAGGAAUCUGUUUACUAAACCACAUGAGAAUUUGUCUUGUUUUGUUUCCUCUUUUCAGGUCUCCGGAAGGCCAAGUGACGAUAAUUUUCAACUCCAAUACCUCUCGAAGGAGAGAAGGUUCAUUUUGGAUGAAAAAGGUAAUGUUCUCAACGAUCCUAGUUCGCCUAUGCCAAAAGGUAAGCAAGGUAUGAAUGUUGAAAAUUUUAAAGCACUUCUGCCUUACUCGAUUGUUGAUGGACACACUGUUGAUGAUUUGGUCUUUAGAAAGAAUCUGAACUUUGACGUGGCUAUUUGUCAUUCUUUGAUUGAUGAUGAUCCAUUUGUUUUGUCUAAUGAUAAGAAGAUUCUUGCUUUUGAAAAAUAUCAUUUUGAUGGUAUUGGUUGUUUAUCUUUAACUUGCAAUGGAAUUCAUGUUUUGGAUGCGCAAGAUGAAAGUCCAUAUAAAAUGUUCAUUCUCACUGAUCAUGUUGAAAAGGAAUGGAAAUGUAUUGAUGAAUACGCCAUUGGCAAGAUUUUUGAUGAAGAGCGAAUAAAUCAGCACCAACAAAAUCUGGAAUUGUGUGAUCAAAAGUUGACAUAUCAUCUGCUUGGUUGUGUUGAUCAUGUGGAUUAUUUAUUUUUUGGUGUGAAAUUUCCAUGUUUUUGUAAAUCUUUUCGAAUGAAAUUUAAAGGGUUUGCUUGUUUGAAUUUGAGUAUGUUAACACCCUCGUUGUUUAAUUUGUGUAAAUUGUUGGAGAUAAAAGGACUCUUUUUGCCAUUUGGAUCGAGUAGUCAAAAUCAUGUCUUUAAUCCUGGAGUUUGCUAUUAUGAAUCAUCCAUGAAAGAAAGCAAGCAUCGUAAAAUUUGUUUGAAUGAAUGUGUAAACAAUCUUUGUUUGUAUGAUACUUUGUCUUUAAGUUUGAAAAUGAGCCAUGUGAAUCUUGUUGGUUUGUUAAGUCAAAAUCAAAAUUUUGUUUUCGGAGGAUGUUCUCAACUGUGGACUAAAAGAUCCGAACAUGUUUUGAAUGAUAAUGAUUUUGAGUUGCUUAGUGCUCUUUCUAUGAAGUCGGUCAUGAAAUUGCCAAAUCAAAUUGAAAUGGCAAGAGAAAAUUUUGUCUUUGACCCCGGUGAACACCAUUCUAUAUCAUUGCCUAAGGUAAUCGAACCAUGGAAAGUUGACUUCCAAAACCAUAGCUAUCAAAUGCCUUGUGAUUUAUGUUUGUUUCCAUCGAAGAAAAAGGUAAGAACGAUUUCUAUUUUCGACCCCGGUAUUGGAUUAUUUGUUCAAACUGUGAAUCAAAUCUCAAAAAGUUCCUUUGUGUUUAAUCUUCAUCGUGUCACUAAUUCAUUUUAUUCUUUUAAAGGUGACAAUGUGAAGUGGUACCCUCCUAAAGAGGGAGGGCAUGCGAAUGAGCUUCUUUUGAUCCGAGUUAAUUGUGGCUUUCAGAAUCUUCAACGAUUUUUCGCGAGUAAAUGGCCCGAUUUGGGGACAAAUCGCUUUAAAGAGGGAGGGGAUGAUACGACCAUGCCCCGGGCACACUUUUGGAUCAGCUCCCUAAGCAUUGUUUGCAAAUCCAUGCGAGCUGAAUUAGUUCAAUUUCAUUUCGUUAAGCUCCGUUUAGCUCGUUUCCAGCUCACUCGAGCUCAAGUCAACUCACUCAAGCUCAAUUCAGCUCAAUCUUAACCCAAUGAGCUUAUUUUUAGCUUUCUUUAGCUUGCAUUUAUUUUGCUAAAAUAAACCAUUUAAUUUGUCAUUAGUUAAAUUAGUUGUUUAUCUUAAGUUAGUUAAUUUGUUAAAAUCUGGACAAAUAAUUAAUUAAGUGUUUUAAUUAUAUCUAAAUUAAAUACUUAAUUAAUUAUGAUGUUUUAAAUAUGUCUAAAAUUGUUAAUAUGUAUGGCCAAAUUUAAUGUGCAAAUUAUUGAGUUCAUAUGCUGCUAAUUUAAUGUGUUUGAAAUGCAUUUAACUUGCUGAUUUAAUUUGCUGCAGGUUCAUGAACGGAUUGGUGCAAUGUAUGGGAGUGUGCAUGCACAAUUGAGGUUCAAUGGAUGGCAUUUAAAGGAGCACAUGCAUUUGGGAUGUUCAUGCAAGAGGGAGUUGCUGAAGGUUCAUGUAUUUGAAGAUUCAUAGAUCAUAUUUAUGGGGGAAAAUACAUGGGACGUUUCAUGCAUGAUUCAUGCAUUUUCAAGAUGACCAUUCAAGUAUUUUAGGCACAUUAAUGCCUCAUUCAGCCAAGGGAGAUGUAGGAUCAUUAAAGAGCUGCACAUUCAUGGAAUUAUGGAGAUUCUUCAAGGCUAAGGAUGCAUGAAUGCAUCAAGUGAAGCAUCAUGAUGGUUCGGCCAAUUCAUGUUAAAUACCUGUGUGAACAGAAUUUAAGUUAGUGUGAACAACAUAGAUGCCGAAUAUCAAUAGGCAUUUUAGGCUUAUAAAUAGCUUAUUUGUUUAUUGUAAAAGGUUACAGAAUUUGAUCAAUUAAACUUAAUAGAACUUUUGUUCUUGUGAGGUUACCUCCUCUCUUCUUUCGUUCGAGUCUCGAAGCGACUUAUCUAGCUUGCUAGUGGUGUCAAUCCGAACUCCAUUGAACUUAUCACCGAAUCGGUGUGGCGUUCAACCAUCUUCCUAUACCUUUGGUUCUUACCUCCAUAUAGGUAACGGGUCAAGGUCCGCUUCUAUCCUUCAUCAAAAUUCACCUUAAGCAAUAUAAGACUCGGGGCAAUACUUUUUAGUAUUGAAUCAUUCUUAAAGUUUGAGUUCUUUAUCCAUUUCCAUUUACUUAUCAUCUUUGUAACUUAAUUCUUUGUUAAACCGAACCUAUCUUUCAUCAAACCAAAACCAUCUUUUGAACCCAUUUUCUCAACUUCUGCUAUAAAAAAUCAUCUAACUCCAUCUAUCUACAAAUUCGAACAAACUUCUCGUCGACGAUCGGGCAAUCAAGUGAAUCGACUCAAACAACCGAGCCGGAUCACAUCACACAUAAAUUUAAAAUAGACAAAAAUAAAGUCUUAAGCUAAACAUAUUAAAUUCAGCUAAGACAACUUUAAAAACAUGAAAUAAAUCAAAACAUAAUUAUGAGCUGUAAUAACUUAAACAAAGUUAAUAAAAUACUUUAAUUAUUCAACCAAUAAAAUAAAUGAGCUGAAUUGUAGCUAAAUUGAGCUCGAUUGUAACACCCCUAUCCCGUAACCGUCGCCGGAAUAGGUAAGGUGUAACACCCCGUACCCGAGACCGUUGCCGGAGUCGGACACAAGGGGUUCACAGACUAAAUUCGCUUAUUAUCGCAGUCCAUUUUAAAAUUUUCCAGGCAGUUGACUAACUGCGACACUGUCACCUUAAAAAUCAUAUCUUGAGUUUCACAACUCGAAAAUCAGUUUCGUAAUUUUUCCCUGAAACUAGACUCAUAUUUCCAUCUACAUAUUUUUUUCUAGAAUUUUUGGACGGGCCAAUUAGUACAGUUUAUUAGUCAAAGUCUCCCAUGUUACAGGGAUCGACUACACUGACCUUUGCGCAUUACGACUUGGAUAUCUCCCUGCACAGAGCUUCAAUACUGAUGCCGUUUGUUUCUAUAGAAACUAGACUCAGAUAGGAAUCUAUACAUAUAUGGAAUGACUCCUAAUUAUCUCUGGUUAAUUUAUAAUGAAUUUCCAAAAUCGGAACAUGGAAUCCAGAAACCGUUCUGGCCCUGUCUCACGAGAACCUGAAUAUCUCUUAACAUACUGUCCAUAUGAUUGUUUCGUUACUUUCCUAUGAAAAUAGAUUCAUCAAGGUUCGUUUACAUAAUUUAUUCAUUAUUUAAUUCCAAUCCUACUAUUUUUAGUGAUUUUCCAAAUCUACAUCACUGCUGCUGCCAGCAUCUGCCUUUAAGGUAGACUUUACCUAUUUCAUAGUUUCCAUGAUUCAACUAGCCCUUUUAGCAUAAAUAGCACAAAUUAUGAUAGUGAUUAACCAUUCCAUACCAAAUGAUUAUAACAUUAUGCUCAAACAUAUAUAAGCCAUUUUCGCAUGGCUAUAUACAUUAACCAAAAUAUUCUUCCGCCACUAGUCUAUUUUAUACAUGCCAUAAGAUAAUCCAAAACAUAGAAGUACCAAACAGUGGAUAGUGAUAGUGUGACUAGUUGCUGACGAUCCCCGAGCCUGUAGCUUCGCAAUGAGAUCUAUAAAAUAGAGGAAACAGAGUAAACGGAGUAAGCAUUACAAUGCUUAGUAAGUUUUAAGCAGUGUCAACAGAUAACAAUCAAAUUAUAACAUAGUUGUUCGUAUUUUUAUUUCACUCUUCCUUCGGGCAUACCAUCCCUUUACCGAAUAUACACAUCUCAUCAUAUACAAUAGGCAGAUAAACUUUCACAUAAAAGUGAGCUCAUGUAACAUAGAUAUAUCGUAUGAUUUCACAUCGCCUCUCACACUGAUCCGAUGUCACAUAAUCAUAGGAAUAGUCUCAUAGAUUGCUCUCGUAUGCAUCACAUAACUACCUUAUGAUUUAGUGCAAAUCAAGCUCACAUAUAAACUUGGAGUACAUACCUGUUUAACCUUUCGCAUUGAAUAUAUUUAUAAGCAAUUCUUAUUACGAAGUCUUACCCGGACAUAAUCUCCACACGAAAUUAUCGGGUCUUACCCGGACAAAAUUCCCACACGUAGUCAUCGGGUCUUUAGAGCUUGGAUAUAGUACGAGCACAAAGCUUACGGACAUUAAUCAGUGAUAAUAUUCUCGCAUAAAGCCUGCGGGGUUUUAACCCGGAUAUAGUACUGACACAAAUGCCCUUCGGGACUUAUCACAUUUAUGCACUUUCACAUCCAUCACGUUGGCCACUCGGCCCUGUCACAUAUAUGCACUUUCACAUUCAUCACAUCGGCCAUUAGGCCUUAUCACAUAUAUACACUUUCACAUUCAUCACAUCGGCCAUAAGGCCUUAUUACAUAUAUACACUUUCACAUUCAUCACAUCGGCCAUUAGGCCUUAUCACAUAUAUACACUUUCACAUUCAUCACAUCGGCUAUUAGGCCUUAUCACAUAUAUACACUCUCACAUUCAUCACAUCGGCUAUUAGGCCUUAUCACACAUAUACACUUUCACAUUCAUCACAUCGGCCAUUAGGCCUUAUCACAUAUAUACACUUUCACAUUCAUCACAUCGGCCAUUAGGCCUUAUCACAUAUAUACACUUUCACAUUCAUCACAUCGGCUAUUAGGCCUUAUCACACAUAUACACUUUCACAUUCAUCACAUCGGCUAUUAGGCCUUAUCACACAUAUACACUUUCACAUUCAUCACAUCGGCCAUUAGGCCUUAUCACAUAUAUACACUGUCUUGGCUGAAUCUACAUCUAUCAUUUUCCAAUAUCACAAUUUAGAAUUCACGUAUGGGUUUAAUCAAUAGCUUAUGAGCAACUAGAACAAGUUUAUCAAGGUUUACAACACAAUCUCAAAUUCAGCACAAGCUGUUUUUCCUGAACAAUAGUCACUAAAUCAUUUAUAACUGGAGCUACAAAACUCCAAAUCACUUUCCGUUAAUUUUUCCUGAAUAUAGACUCGUAUAUCUUCCAUAAAAUUUCCAGAAUUUUAGGUUUGGCCAAUCAAUACCAGAUUUUUCUUAAAGUUUCCCCUGUUUCACUGUUUGACUAAUCUGACCACUCUUCACUACGAAUCAGAUUUCUCAUUUUACAGAAUUCGAAAUGUGUUGUACUUGAUUUCAUUUGAAACUAGACUCAUUAAGGAGUCUAAGCAUAUAAAUUUUAUCUUAUAACCAUUUUUGUACAAUUUAUAAUGAUUUUCUAAAAACGGAACAGAGGAUUACAGUGUCAUUCUGCACUGUCUCACACAACUUUAAAUAUCUCAUUAUCGGAAAUAAAUUUUCUUACACGGUUUCUUUUAUAAGAAACUAGACUCAUUAAGCUUUAAUUUCAUAAUUUAUUCAGCCUCCCAUUCAACUCUAACAAUUUAUGGUGAUUUUCUAAAUUCAUGUUACUGCUGCUGUCCUGAGCAGGUUUAUCACAAUUUUACUCUUCUGACAUAUCCUUUUAGCACUUCAUAAUAUCAUAUCCAUUUGGCAACAUAUCAUAUCAAUAACUUACCUAUACUUCAUAAUAGCCAUUAGGCUAUAUGCAUAAAAAUUUACAAUAGAGUUAUGAUUCUUUUAAUAUGUGCUUAACAUAUCAUACUCAAUCACAUUAUAGGCUUUAAUACUUAAAACUUACCUCGAUCGCUAAUGUACGUCAAUUCCGACUAUUCGACCAAUUUCCCUUUUUCCACGAUCCGACUUUGUUUCCUUGAGUUCUUGAGCUAAUGAACCAAAUUUAAACUUAUCACAUCACUAUUGUGUAAAACCACAUUCGAUUAUAUUAUACUUCGGUUAGCAAGAAAUACACUUAUUCCUUAUAACAUUUAGCUUCGAGAUCACCACCUCAAUCAUCUCAACCACAACAUUCAUUUUCUUACUUCUCAUCAUGGCCGAAUACUAACCAUGCCUUAAGCUCUUUCUCUUUCCAUUUUUUAGUACUUUAUAACUCAUCUAACAACUAUUUCAAAGCUAAAACUCCAACAUCCAAAAUUUAACACAUAAAAUCCUCAAUUAUUACAUGGUUCUAUUAAUUGUAAGCUCUAUUUCAAUAUUUAAGCAUGAAUUACAAAUUUUGGACAUCAUUUCAUAAUUCCAAGCAAGUUGCCGAAUGCAACCUUACUAAAUUUUCAUGGAUUCAAAUCAUGGAUUCAAUAUACCAUUACCAUGAAAUCAACAACCAAAAAUUCAUAGACAAUUUAGGAAAAUCACAUUACAAAUCUCAAAUUUAAGCAAAGACCAUGGCCGAAAUGCACAUAUAACCACAUAACACAAAAAAAAAUAUUGAACCUUUGGUUGCCUAACUAGCUUAACAUCCAUCAAAUUUUAAUCAAGAAACUCACCUCAUCUAUAAUCAACCCUCAAUACCCUAAAGCAUCAAAAACGACAUCAAAGAAAUACAAACAUCCAUGACCGAAUGUCAUCUUCAUAACUUUACAAAAAACAUUUGCCAUGAGCUAGCUUCUAUACUUGAUGGCCACUCCAAAUAUACAAAGAUUUUCAAUGAUAGAGCAUUAACAUACCUUAAUCCACUUAAAGGUGACCAAAUGCCUUAACUUCAAUUUCUUCUUUUCUUUCUUUAGGUACGGCAAUGGAGGAAGAAAAAGAUGAACCAACUUUGUUUUUAUCACCCAUUUCUUUUAAUAUAAGUUCACCUUUCAUAUUAUUUAUUCAUUUAACAUUUAAUUUAUUAAUAUAAAAGGCAUAUAUUUUGUAUCCCAUACUCCUUAUUUUAUUUUUCCUAACAUAAAUCACUAACAUAACAUGUUUAUGACAUGUUUUGCCCAUAACAUUUUGUCCUCCUUCCUUGUCAUGGCCGGCCACUACAAAAUUAAGGGGGAAAUUGACAUGCAAGUCCACCCUUUUAUUACAUGCACUAAUAGAUCCUAUAGAUUAACCUAUCACAUUUCAAAAGUGUCACACAUAAGUCCUAUUAGCUGAAUUCACAUGCAGUCGACUAAAUCGAAGCUUAAAACUUUCACACAUUCAUAUUCACAUAUUUUAGACAAUAAAUAUCAUAUUCAAAUAAUUUGGUGACUCGGUUUAGCGGUCCCGAAACUGCUUUUCGACUAGGGUCACUUUAGGGGUGUCACAACUCUCCCCCCUUUAGGGAUUUUCGUCCCCGAAAAUUUCUACCGAUGCAUAGUUUAGGAUAACGUCCUCUUAUUGAAUUAUAUUCAUAUAAAUAUUAGCUCAUCGAUGGCAAUUGUAAUUCAUUAUUGAUUUCGCAUCGAUCUAUAAAAUCAUUUUCUUAUCUUAAAACAAAUACAUAAACAGUUCUACAAGUAUGCACAUAUAUCUCAUUUUCUUGAUUUCAUAAGUAAUAAUCACUUAAUUUAAUUCACAAUUGCAUCUCAAACACAUAUUAAGCACAUAUUAAUAUGUAUAAUUCACAUCAUCAACCCACAUAUUUGUAACCCAUGUUUUCAUUCAUAAAUAAGCUGUAACCUAACCGAAAGUACACAUAUACUCAAACAUCCCAAUAAAUAUCCUUUAUAACUUUAUCACAUCUCAAUAUUCAACUUAACUCAUUUCCAAAAGAAAAGUCAACUUCCACGUACCUGAACAUUUAGUUCAUUUAGCACAUUCAAUCGUAGUUAACGUUACCCGUAUACAGUUGAAUAGGCAUAAAGCCUAAUAUAAUACUCUGGCAUGAGAUUUAUUCUAGCGCAUAACUCGUAUAUCCAAAAUUAUCAACAUUCAUCAAAAAUUCUUUCAAACUUUCGAAUGUCGAAACUUAAUCAAAAUAAUUUCUUGAACAAGAUUAACAAAAUAGUGUCCAUUCAGCAAUAGCACAUAUAGCUCUUACAAUGCCAUAUCCUAGAUAUGGUCUUACAUAUUCUUACAUAUCGCGCCGAUGCCAUGUCCCAGACAUGGUCUUACACACUAUCUCAAAUCAAUGCCUUUGUCCCAAACGAGGUCUUACAUGAAUUCCACUUCACACACUUAGUGCCCACUGACCGAUCUCGCACUCAUAGUGCUCGGAUAAAGGAAUUCGCACACACACAGUGCCUCUAAUUAUUCACAUACAUAGUGCUCUUAUUCAUUCGUUAAUACACAUUGAUAUGACUUAACCAAGUCUAUAAUCAUCAUGUAUGUACACUUUUAAACAUAUCAUCUCAUUUAAAUUUGAAUUCGUAUAGUAAUGAAUACUUAAACUUUGCUCAAAUUACCGGCACGAAGCCUACUAGGCACGAAGGCCCGAAUACACGUGAUACGAGUCACAAAAGCCCAAAUUCUUGAAGGCGAGGCCCAAUAAGCAAAUUCCCAGCCCAAUCAAGAAAUCCAUCCAUACUUAGUUGAAAAUCAGGCCAAAUUGUCAAAGUGGCCCAAGUUGUAAAGUUUUAUUUUUAUUUUUAUUUAUUUAUUUAUUUAUUUACUUAGUUUAAAUUUUUAUGUCAAUAUUCAGUCCAAGAGUCCCAGAUAAAAUGACCUUUGACCGAAUUUCCAUAUUAAAAUAAUUAGGAGUUUUUUUAUUUUAGUUUUCUAAUUAGAUUAAGACUAGUUAUAAGGCCUAUUUAAAGGCAUGGCUGUCCACCUUGUUAAACACUUAUCAUUAUUAUUAAAAUUUCAGAUUUGUUGAGAGCAAAAUUUUCUUUGAGUUUUCUCCAAGAUUUCUCUCUUGAGUUUUCUUUAGAAGUUGUUUUAACAAUCUUGUGAUUGUGGGAGCCAUCUUCAACCUUCUUCUUGCCAUUGAUAUUCUUUGGAGGGGAGAUUAGAGCCGUUUGAAGGGAGUUGUGAGAUCUUUCGAGAUUUCAAAGCUUCUUAGGACUUAUCUUUUAAUUUCUUACUGUCAAUUCUUUCUUUAUUUCUACUUGUGCUGAAUCAUUAUCUAAUCUAUUUUCUGUUCUUAUUGUGUUUUCAGCCUUUUUCUAUCUUAAGGAAUCAGCCCAAAAAUCCCCAAUUUCUAGGGUUUUUCCAUACUCUUUUUGGGUGAAAUUAGAUUGUCGAAAUUUGGGGAAAACUAUCUUGGUGUUCAAUUGGGCAGAAUCACAAUCUCCUUGAGGGUUUCAAGAACCCUAACACUUAUUUCUAUUUUCAAUUUGAUUCUUUGCUGAUUUGGGGAUUUUAUUUCAGAUCUGAAAAUUUAAAAAUCUAAUCUUUUAAUUUUCUGUUUCGUUUCAGAUCUAAUUGUUUAGGGUUUUCGUAGGAGUUUCUCGUGACUUGGCAACUCGAUCUUGGUCCGCACGCAAUCCUAUAUCAUUUGGUAUCAGAUUUUGGGCGUUUUGGGUGUUCUUGGUUGAUUUCUAAACUGAUCUUUAUUUUUUAAAGCAUAAACAGCAGUUUUACCCAGAAAAAUUGUUCAAAAAAAUUCAUUUGAGUGGGUAAACGUUGUCCUAUUGAUCUGAAAUUUUACAUACAUGUUUUUGGCACUGUGAUUGAAUAUAAAAAAAUUAUUCCCACAAAAAAAUAAGUCAAAAAAGUCAAAAAAAUCAAAAAAUACGAAAUUCAAUAAAAAUUUAAAAAAAGAUUCAGCGGGUUGAAUUUGGUGCCCAAAAUUUCCAGAUCGAAAAUUCAAUAUAUAAGGACACUCCAGAUUUAAUUUCGUGAUUUUUGGAGAUCGGGAACACCUCGAACGAAGUUGUCAAGUUACUCCGCAGUUUUUCGGGUUUUCUGUUUUCAGCAAUUUUUAUUGAUUCUUAGCUGUAGGUUUUCAUUUGUUUGCUUUUUAUUCUCCUUUUACAAUAUCUAACACCUUCUUGUUUCUUGUGUUAGUAGGAUUUAAACGUGUGGACAAUCCUUCCUCGGUGCAACACGAAUCACUUGGUGUCUCGUCAGUUUUUGGCAUCCUAGUGCAAAUUAGGAUUCUUUGGUAGUUUGGUUCACACUCUCUAAUUGGUUGAUAUAAACUCUGAUAAAGAACUCACAAGAUUGAAUUCGACCUCAUUGAGAAUUUGAUUUUUCUUUUUGAGUGAUUAAUGGUGAGGUUUGCUAACUUUUAUUUUUGAGAGUUGAGUGUUUAUUUUUUACAGUUUUGAAGAUGUCUAAAGGUGAUAAUAAUGAUACACUUAUGAAAGUCCAACAACAGUUAGACGGACAUACUGCUGCAAUCACACAAAUAAAUGCUACACUUCAAGCAUUGAAUACUACUUUGAAUGAGGUACGAGUGAAUCAAAAACAUCAAUAUCGAGAUCCAAUUAAGGAAGAUAGGGAUAACCAGCCCCAUAGGUGCAGCCCUCAACGUGUCCCUAGAAUGUAUGAUGAUUUUCAUGAUCGUGGACAAUCAUCUUUGGCAAAACCAAAGAGCGAGCAGCAACGAGAACAUCUCUUUCAUACUCGCUGCCAUGUACAAGGUAAGCUUUGUAGAGUUAUUAUUGAUGGUGAAAGUUGCUCAAACAUAGCCAGCACGACGAUGGUGGAAAAGCUUUGCUUAACCACUACCAAGCAUCCACAACCUUAUCAACUACAAGGGCUUAGCAACGAAGGCCAAUUUACGGUCACUCAACAAGUGCGCAUCGCCUUUUCUAUCGGUAAGUAUCAAGACGAAGUUGUGUGCGAUGUAAUGCCUAUUCAAGCCUGCCAUUUGUUGCUAGGAGAACCAUGGCAACUGGAUCGAAAAGUCACUCACGAUGGUCGUACCAAU
rnacentral:lncRNA from 1 species